AUGAAGCGAGAAACAAACUGUCUUUUCCACAAAAAAAAAAAAAGAUUCGCCUUUUAACACUACCAACAAAAGUUGACAAUAAAUUAUAACAUACUUUUUAAGCAAGUACAAGGCCUUUAAAAUUUGUUUUUUAUACUCAGAAGUUGUUUGAUAUUGAGGUCCAUCUAAUAAUAAUAUGCAAAAUAUGAUAAUAUGCUUUUUAAUUUUCUAAUAGAAUCGAAAAAAAUAUAUCGUAACCAACUCACUGUGAUAUGCGGAACGAGAUAUUAUGUACGCAAACAAAUAUUAUAUUUUUCGAUGUACUUUCUUAUCGCACAGCGCAUUCUCCUCGCAAUCUUAAAUAGAGCCUUAAUUUAUCAUCUUAAAAAAGGCUAAAUCGUAUUUGUGGUCCUUAAACCACAAAACAGGCGACGGCUUGGUUUUCAAACAUUAGUAUGUUAUAACUUCUGACUCGAAAUUUAUUACAAUCAAAUCCUACUGUCCGAUUAUUGCCAAGUCAUUUACUACAACGCUAAUAUAUUAUUAUUAUAUUAGCGAUACAUCAUUUUUUAGACAGCUAAAUUAAACUGUAAGACUUAAUUAUAAUAAUAUAAAAAAUUUGAUCUAAAUGUUAUAAUAAAUUUAAAUUUGAGAACAAAGCUUUCCACCUGCCUUGUGGUCCCAGGGCCAAAAAUGCUUUUUUUUUUAAAAAAAAAAACUCUUAAAAUAGACCCAAUUCAACCCAUUCAAAUCCUUAAGAUUAGAUAGUAAAUUCAAAACUUUCUUUAAACUCCGAUUUCAAUAUUAUUUUCUCGAAUUGUAACUAAGUUUUGAGUUCACUAAAUUCAAAAAAUUCAAAUUAAAAUAAAGAAAAGUAAUUAAUUUUAGAAUAAAAAAUUGUAUAAAAUUUUUGUGAACUAUGGUCCAUUCUAAUAGGACUACUUCCCACCCAUUUAACUAAACUGCGAAAAGGUGUAAUCAAAUUAAUUAUUUGAGUUAAAUCAUUUGACCACUCUUUAUAAGAAAUUAAUGUUUAUAAUAAUAAUAAUUACUUGCUUUAAUCAUAAUUUAGUCACAUGAAUUACAUGACAUAUUCUAAUCAAAUAUGUUAAAAUAAUUGAUGCACCCAAAUUAUUACGAAGUUAAAUCAUCAUCAAAUAGCUCGAAUCAAAUGAGUAAAAAAUUAUAAAGCAUAAUCUCAAGGCAUUGGGAAAUAGUCUCCUCAACUCUUUUUUUUUUUUUUUUUUUUUUCCCUUGAUUGAGACCCCUCAACUUCUAAAUUUUAAAAUUAAAUAAUGUUAGUUAUAAAAACUAAAAUUUUAUCAAAUUCACUAGUAAUUAGUUAAGCCAAAUUUACUCGCUUUAAUCUUUUCUUAUCACGGGGACUGUUUAAUAAAUAUUUUGUCUUAAAUCUUUUAUUUUGAUAUUCGUGUAGUUUACGCGAUGAACAAUGAAUAAAACUGUUUCAUUUUAAGGACUGUUCUUAUAGAAUGUUUGUUUUUAUUCGAGAUAAAUUUUAUUAGGACAGUUCCUAUGGUGAGAUCGUUUCAUCUAUUGUCCAUCGUGCUUUGAGAUUCGUGUAGUUCAAAUGAUAGAUUGCAAAUAGAGCUAUCUCACUUAGGGAUGGUAAUCCAGCUCGCUUUUCGCAAGCCAGCUCGUGUUCGAUUUAAAAUGAGCUCGAGAUCGAAUUACUUGUUUAGUAAAUAAGUCAAACAUGAGCUGACUUUUUCAGCUCGUUUAAUAAAUGAGUCGAACACGAGCUGGGGCCAGCUCGCUUGUGUUCGGCUCGAUAACAACUCGAAUACAUAUAUUUUAUAUUUAUAUAAUUUAUGUAAUUUAUAUAUAUAUAUAUAUAUAUAUAUAUAUAUAUAUAUAUAUAUAUAUAUAAAUUACAUAAAUUAUAUAANAUAUAUGUAUAUAAUUCAAAUUUUUAUUAUUUGUGUUUUAGUCCAACCUAAAUAUAAAGCCCAACUUAAUUACAAAAAGAUUCAUUUAUCUGUAAAAUUUCAACCAUUAGAUCAAACUCUAGUGGAUAUGAUGUCGUAAACUUAUUUUCUAUAUAUAUUCUUUCUAACUUUUUAGCUUAUUAUUUACGAGUCAGCUUGUGUUCAACUUAUAUUUGACUCGUCAAUAAAUGAGAGCUGAAUUUUUUGGCUCGAUGCUUUAAUGAGCCGGCUCGAAAUCACCUUAUUUAUGAAACGGGCUGAACACAAGCCGACUCCGGCUUGCUCGCCCUAGAUAGUGGCACCGAUGUGCAAAUCGCCUAAACCCGAGGGGUCUACAUGCAAUUUUACUACUAAACUGUGUACAUAUAUAAGAGCGAAUUGUUGCGCUCUCUCUCCCCGACCGUGUCGCCGAUAUAAAACCCUCGACUCCUCCCUCUCUCUCUCUCUCUCUCCCUCUCUCUCUCUCUCUCCCAUUUCCAUUCGAGCGUUGCGACGCACCGCUCCCUCCCUCGUCCUCGACGCUUCUCGAUCCUUCUCCCGCUCUCCCGAUCCCCCUCUCGCGGUUCCGCGAUCCGGAGGCGAGCUAGGGUUUCGGCGCCGGGCCACGCUCGCCCCGAGAUCUCCUUCACCGAGCUGGUAAUUUGUUGUCCGAUCGAGUUUCCCGCUCCGUUUUCGCGUUAAUGGCGUCGAAAACCCUCCUUGAUUUGAUCCCUUAUGCGUUUAUUGCGGCUCGGAUUUUGGUUCCUAGCUCAAUGAGUAUGUUGCGUUGGGAUUUUGUAGUCGUGGUUGGGGAAUUUUGGUUGAGAGUAGUGGCUAUGUUAGAAAUGUGAUGUUUUGUGCUGAGUGAGGAUGAUAAGGUGUAUCACAGCGCGCGGUUUAGGAGAGCCCUGGAAUUUUUUGGGAUGAGAAUGUUUUUGACCCAGAUUUAGAUCUAGCUCGUAAUUUGGACAUCCUAAUUACUUGUUACCUUGGGGACAAAUGGAAACUUUUCCACAACAAAAGUUCGAAUUUAGUGUUCAUCCUUCUGAGGGGAAACGAAUAAAAUUUCAGUGAAGAGUGAUUUUGCGGUGAAAAGUGUUGGCGACAGUUAACAUACGGUUUCAAUAUUUUUGCUUUGCUUAUGUCAACUUGUCAAAUGAGUAUCUGUUCUAACCAAUACACUCCGAAUGGUGGUGUAUUUGCUUCAUGGCUAUAACUAGUUGUUCUCUUCACCGAGGUUGGAUUGCAUGUAUAUUGGAUUUCCUUAAAUGCCUCUUACUGGGAUGCCACAGAUUGAACAUCUAAGUGAUAUCUGUGCAAACGAUUUUGGGGUUAAAGUGAUCAUUUUGUUUGUUCAUGUAAAGAUUUUUAAUGGAAGGAAGAAGGGAUGUUCGUACAAAUAUAGUCUAUUACAGGACUGCAGUAGAUAUUUCAAUUUCGGAAAUAUGCUCAUUCUUAUAAAUAUACCUCUUCCUGAUAACCUUCCUAUUCUAUAAAAGUGUUUUAAAUAAAAGCUUUCCCAGAUAAUACCUCUUUGCUUGAUAGUACCUCUCGUCCUUCCAUUUGAACAAUAAGAUUUAACUUUUUAGCACUUGCUGCAUCGGUAAGUAGGGUAUGAAUGAUGCCAAUUAAGCUAUAGUUAUAGGUCUGAUUCUUGUCUAUUAGACUCACCCCUAAAAGAUUCCAAUUGCACAAUAAGCAAAAACUUCAAGUUGGAGCUUCUGCUUUUGGACCUUUUAACUCUUGGCCACCACUUGAAUCUUUCUUCUUGUUUCCAUUUUCAAUUUCUGAAUCUCUUCGAUCUUGACCUUUAAUGCUUUGAAAUGUGAUCGUAGGUAAUGGCAACUUUUGAGCUGUAUCGAAGGUCCUCGAUUGGAAUGUGCUUGACAGAAACCCUAGAUGAGAUGGUGUCGAAUGGGACCCUUAGCCCAGAGCUUGCUAUCCAAGUCCUGGUGCAGUUUGAUAAGGUUCGAUUCUAACCCUUAUGAUUAAUUUUUCCUCUUUUUUUAACUGAAAAUUCCAUUCUAUGUAGUUAUAUAAUUUUCUGUUCUAUUGUCUUCUUUAGUCUAUGACAGAUGCUUUGGAAAACCAAGUGAAGACCAAAGUCUCUAUUAAGGUAUGCAUUUGCAGAAGAGCUUCUUGCAUUUUAUCUACGUAGCUUUAUCUUUGUUGAUCUUUUUUUUUUUUUUGCUUACUGCUUCUAUUAAUAAUUGCUGAUUAACUAUUUGUAGCAGUAUAAUUUCAACAGAUCAGACGUAGCUUGAUCAACAUGACUCAAAUCUGUAAUAAAAUGAAAGGUUUAAGAAGAAUAAGCUUCCAUACUGAAUUAUAAUGAAGCCAUGACUCCAAUAAUCUUUUGAAAGCUCGUGAUAGAUGUUCAAUCGAGUAUUUGGUCUAGUACAGUGGGUAGAAAACUGAACCUGGAUUUUACCAAUAUUAUGUUCUAGUUGGGACAAGAUCGGGGGCUCUGGACAGGGUACAGAAGUAUACAACCCCUGGGUAUCAAAUUAGGUUUAGUUCUAAAAACUAGUUUACGUGAAGAGAAUAAAUUAAAGUAACCAAAAUGAUUUGGAAAUAUACUUUGUUUAUCCAAUAAUGAAAACCUGCUCAAUGUCCAUGUAAACUAAAAUGAUUAAUUAAAAGUGCACCUUGAGAUGUAAAAUGCGGAAUUAUCCCAUGAUGAACUGUUGAAUGCACCUUGAGACCUUGUGUUGAUUCAAGUGUGCCUGCAUGAUGUAUAUCGAGGCAUGCUCAUCAGUCGUCGGGUGAAAAGUGGACAAGAAGGGGAACCCGACACACGAGGCAGGUGUGGACACAUGCCUUUGCUGGAUUAGGGCAAUCUUUUAUAUCUCUUUAUAUACUACGAUGUGCUCCAUUUUGGUAAGGACAUAUACAGCCAUUAUAAACUUUUACAGACAUAUAACUGCUGAAGAAAUAAUAUGAUGAUUUGAUGAAAAAUACAUCUACAAUAAAAAUAAGUAGUGUGCCCCACCUAGAUUAGAAUCCUAGAUUCGCCUCUGUGGGAAAGUGUCAGUAGUGAACCUCCAGAACUUCUGGGAGCAUUCUAGCACUACACUUCUAAAUUUAUAUGCGUAUGGGGUGUCUUAUAUGAACUGAUCAGGUUAUACUAGCGUAACUUUUACAAAGUUUAAAAUGCUAGUGUAAUAUCUCUGUCGGCAAGUAAAUAAUUCGAUUAUAUCUACAACAUUUAAAAGAACGGUAUUAAUAAAAAGAUUUAACUUUUGGAAUUCAUUUUUCUGCCAUCGAACAUGUGAAAAUAGAGGCUCUAGUUUUUCUUAGAACAGUAUUAGAAGAAGACAAACAUCUUAUGGGAAGGAUUAUCAUAUGGGAUUUAGAAUUGCUGAGCACUUAACUGUGCUUUUGCCAAUUUAUGAGACCCGUAUCAUCCGAAUCAUCCAUUAUUUUUAGCACACACACUCUCAAACUGAUUGCCAUUUGGAGACUCCACACUCCAAAUUCAAGUACAUCCUAGUUAUCACAAAUCCUCGGAAAACCUCUUCAACUCGCUAGAGCUAUCUCUAAAUAUUUUAUCUGUUUCUUUAUGAUAAGAUAAGAUUUCAGCUGAAGUGCCAAUCUCAAUACUCAGAAAGCUUAUACUCUCUUGCAUGCUGCUCUAGUUGAUUUGCAUAAGGUCAGUCUUCCGGGCUAUUCCUAAGUACUACGCUGACUCGUACUUGCUGACAAUUUUCUUGCUAAGUUGGAAGUGCUUUUGUUUGUGAUUUCUGGUUGGGCUUCUCAGGCCAAGAAGUCUUUUUUCGAAUGGACUUUGCAUGUUUACUCUGGCUGAAUCUCUAAUUUAGCUUUAUAUGCUUUCGCUAGAAAAGUAAAAUUAAAAGAAAAGCCAGUGUUUUUCAUUUCCUUACGGUACAAAAUGCUUGAAUUUUCCGAUUUCUAUUAACUAUUCAUUUUUGUUGCUUUUUUUUUUUCUUUUGCAUAGGGGCAUUUACACACAUACAGGUUCUGCGACAACGUAUGGACGUUCAUCUUGCAAGACGCGAUGUUCAAGAGCGACGAAAUGCAGGAGCAAGUCGGGCGAGUCAAGAUCGUGGCUUGCGACUCCAAACUGCUUACUCAGUAGACCUUCUUCGUGGCUUGUUUGGAUGCUCUCCUUCUGAGAAUAUCUUCAGAAGGAUGACUAAAACCUCUUUUUUUGUGUUGUGCUUGAGAACUCCAAACUCUUACUCCCACUCGCCCUGUUAUCAGUUCGUGUAAUUUGCGUAGUUAUUUGCAUAUUAGGAGUGUAUUAUAUCUAUCACCGCCAUUGUCGGUAAAGCUUUGAUUUGCUGGAAACAGGCCCAAUUUCUUUUUUUUUCCUUUUCCGAUCGAAAUAAGAUGUAUUCAAGUUUCCGCAAAAGCUGCAUGAAAAGCUAGCAUAUAUUGUAGAGAGCUUAGCGAAAUUUCAUCGCUAUCUUUCCGAACAAUGCGUGUCAGAUCAGGGGAUCUUCAUCCAUCACACAGAGACAGAUUCCUACUUGUUCUGCAGGCGAAAACCAGCCCGCCAGUUCGGCGGCUUGGUUGGCAAGCCUGUUCUGCUAACAUGUGGAACUUUUGAUGAUCAAAAAGAGGCUCAAAUAUUUUUGAGUUUCAUCUCACAUUGUUCUCUUUUCGGUUUAGGCUGGCGAGACGAGUCUCACAUCGCCUGAUACUUUAAGUCUGAGCCUGACGAGAAUGUCAUGGCUUAAAGGGAGGGAGAUUAUGAGACCCCAUAUAAUUCUAUAUAUAGAAUAUAAUAGGACUAGAAUUUUUAAUCCGGCUUAAGCAUUUUGGAUGAUGGCUAGAUCCAAGAGGUUAAGAGAGUUAAGUAUAUUAGGACGGAAGUAGUCCUAGAAUGGGUGACUUUCUGGGAAGUUGGGGGCGCCACAGUGUACCGUCUCCACUAGCUGCCUUGCAGUGUUUUCAAGCCAAACUUUUCCGGCUGCAGCUUUACGAGCAGCAUGAACGACUCGGCGAUUGCAACCCCUGCAGCCAUAUAUAGCACCUUACAGUUUAUGGACCCAAGCCUGGUCAUUUGUGGUUGUCUCUUGUCACAAAGAUCGAAUGUCUUUCAGAACUCUGAUAGCUCGGGGAAUUCGAUUAGUAUUUUUUUAAAAAAGCCAUUAAAAUAAAUAGUUAUUUUAUAUGAUAUCAUAGCAAAAGAUUUUGAAUUUUUAAAUCUUGCUCAGCAUGCAUAGAAUGAAAAAGGUUCACUCCUCUAAUGUAGGUAAAUAUUCACAAUAAGUAGAAGGGUCAAUCGCAUGUUUAAUCCUCAAACUAUGAGGUGGGUGAUAUUUUAGCCCUCAAAUUUUAAUUUAUUGUAAUUUAUAUCUUAAACUUAUAAAAUUUAUUGCAAUUAAGUCUCACAACUCAAAUUUAGUUAACUAACUAUUGAUAUAUUACUGAUGAACAAGUGAUGUAAUAUUUUAAUUAUCAGCACAUCAUCAAUAAUAAUACUGUUACAUUACUUUUAUAUUAGCAAUACAUUAAUAUUUAGUAAACUAGGUUAGAUUAGAGAAUAAGUCUAAAAAUUCAAAUCAGAAAUUAUAAUAAAUUAAAGUUUGAGAACCAAAGUGUCACCCAUCUCAUAGUUUGAGGACCAAACAUGCAAUUUACCCACAAUAAAAUGUGCUAGCCUUUUCUGCAUACAUUUUCAUUGCAAAAUUGCACAAAUAUUACACGUAAAGCUGGUAUUUGCAUGCGUUCCCUCUAUAAUCUUUUCGAUGUGUUGCUAGUUCAAUGUUUUGAUAGGGUCGUGCAGUGCAAUUCAAUUGAUUUUUGUAUUUCAAUUGAUUUUUGUAUUGCAAUUCAGCGUCAAAGAACAUGUACUAGGGUGUAUGUGCGACUCGUUCAGAUCAUGAGUUCGAACAAAUGAGACAAUUUUUUUAGUAUCAAUGACCAGAAACAAUGAAUAGGAUAGAUAGAGAAGAUCAACCAUACACCCAUAUUGUAUAUAAAAUUUAUGGUUUCCACAUAAUCCGACUUAUUUGAAUGUAUAUUCUGAUUAUAAGCAGUAGCUUCUUCCAUCCGAAAGGAAAUUCACAUAUUAACCGAAACCGAAUCUCCGAAACUCGGUGCAGCAUUUGUAGAAAGAAAUGAGCCUUUAAUCAAUUAAUUCCUUAAUAACUUCACCAUCAAAGAGGAACAGCUUCUUAAAACUCCAGUAAGAGAACGGCCCAGUGUCAAUCUCAAACAACAUAUAAUAGCAUAGAAGUAAAACUCCAGUAGAAAAAAAUAAAAAAUAAAAAAAAGAAGCCAUUACAUAUUAGGGCGAAAGACGAGUGCAAGCGAGGAUAUAGACCAAACUGCCUUCUUAAUGUAAAACUGAUUACAAAAAGCGUAUUGUAUGGUUUCCAGUAUAGCUGAUUUAUUAGCACAUGCAUGAUUUAUUGCAUACUGUGAUGUUUGAUUCGUAUAAGAUCGCUUUGUACAGGAUUUGUGGAAGUAAAGCUCUAACCGGAGCCGUCGCUGCUUCCAAAGUUUGCAUUAGAUGGAGACCAUAGCCGUUUUGAAAAAAAAAGGACUCCUUCGAUCAUCUCUGAGACAUUUAUUCUUUAUUAUCCAUACGUGAAAGCGAGGAAGGAAACAUCGUUCCUCACAGUAAAAGACACUGCAGACGAAAAACAAAGACCAUUUAGUAGUUUAACCAGUCUCUUCAGUCUAACUGCAGAGGAGAACUAACCUCAGCUUAAAAUCAUGUAAAUAGGGAGGACAAAAAUGGCUGUUCAGAAAGAAAGGUUUAAAUGGAGCUGCUCUAGUCAGUCGUCUAUAAAGUAUAAACAGCAAAAAUAAACCAACAAAAAAGUCAAACUGUAUAACUUCAUCGCUUUAUCACUUUAUCCUUUUCAUAUGCUUAUUUGAAACGAAGGUGCGUCCGUCUUACUUUUCCUUUUUCAACUUGUCCUACUUUUUUAUAUUUCACCAUUUUUAAGUUUAGAUUAACCGAUUCCAACAUUCAAGUUGUUAAAGAAUCAAGUCUUGCAGCAUAAUAAUAAACUUUCUAGAACUUACAGAAGAAAGUGCUUCUGCAGAAAUACGGCGAGAAGGCAUUUGAUGUUAGUCCUUCAGUAUGCAAAACUUUUGCAGAGCGGACUUGAUGUCGUUCGAGCUGAAUCCCUCAGUCUGAACAAUGUUGGAGUUGUCGAAUGCUACAACAUCUUCUAAAGGAUAGGCCCUCGCAGCAUGCAGAUGGCUCGGGGCAUUAUUGAAUGAGCCCUUUAGUAUAAUGGUUUUGCGCACACCUCCAAGUAAUCCUUCAUAAUCCGUAUCACCACUUUCACCGACAAACACCACCAUAUUUGAUAGCUCCAAGCCCCACCUAAUAUACAAGUACCUGAAUAUAUAGCAGGACAGGGGAAAUAGAACUUAGGGAUAGCCUUAGCGCCACAUGUAGACAGACAUAUGAGGAAGAAUAUUGUGGGCAAAGAACUGUAGAAAAAACCAAGUAAAAAGUUUACGAGUAGCAAGAUUUUAGGGACUUAAUCUACAAUACCGAAAACUGUUGAACAAAAUCGAAAUCUGGAUCAAAUUUCAGGGGCUAAAAAUUUGUACUAAAACCAAGAAACUGAACAAGAUGGCAGCUUUUGUCAGAUAAAAGAAUUAGAUGAAAAAAAUAACGGGAUUAGUAUUCUCAUUGAAACCUUAGCGCCUGGGAUCGCGAAGCCAGAACAGGAAUGAAAUGAAGCUUGGUACCAUCAUGGCUAUAUAAGACAUGGCAGCGGAGUGCUUGAAUUCUCAUCAACUUCCGCAGUUCCUUCACAUGAGGUACCUACAACAAUUUGGCAAGAACAACAUAACCCAAGUUGGAUAACAACCAUACCAACUUUAAACAAUGUUUAGCCACAUAUCAAAAUAGCUCUGGAAAGUUGUGAUUAAAGUACUGCAGCACUUUUGAAAAGGAAAAUAACAACUUACACGUUGCGUGUUGAUCACUUUAAAAGCAAGGCAGAAAGUCGAAGAGCGCUCCUCGUCUUCGACAACAACUUUUUCUUCAUUUUCUCCCUUGUUUUCUACAAGUGAAGCAGCCCAACGAACUAAAGUCCUUCUUAAGCCUUCUCCUCCCCACCGGUACUCGAUUUGUGAGUGAUAAUCUAAAUCAAUUGUAAAUGGAAGCUCAGAUGGGCUAACCAUAUCCUCAGAGUUCGAAGAUGGGUAAUACAAGUCGCUGCCGCUAUUGCAGACAAAAGCAUCGAAAUCAGUAGGAAGCAAUCCUCUGGAGAUCAGCAAAGAGUGUAUCUCUGAUAUCGUCAGGCAAGUUGACAAUACGAAGCCAACAGAACCAGACGACCUUUCAGCACGUGUGGUCUCAAAGGCACUUUUAAUAAUCUCAAUCAGGUCUUCAUUACUAACAGAGUCCACAGCAAUAACAAAGAUAUGUUGCCUCCUCCUCAACAUUGGUAGCUUAUUAGAACCGCUCUGAUCAGCUUUCUCACUGGACCCAUCCUUUCUUGUGGCUCUCACGACACCCUUUUUGAGUUUCAUUAUGAGUUCAUUAGCACGGUUGUCCUCAGAAUCUAAUGUAUUCUCAAUGGUUCCACUAUCUUCAGCCUUUUCACCAUCUAAAGAAAGCCUUAAGUUGAGAGAGAUGUCUUGAAUGUCUCUCAAUGAGUUACCUGGUGAAUCUGAUUCUGAAUUCUCUGCAUUAUCUUCACUCUUCUUCCAUUGAGGAUGCCUUGGCCUCAGAACAGCUAUUUUUGACAAGUAGGUCUUGCAGUGCUCGGUCCAAGAGAAUAGGUGAAUAUUUUUCAAUCCAUUCUGACGACAUCUUGCCCAAAGCUGCUUGUCUGAAACAAGCUUAUAAAGUGCAUCAGCGAUUGCAUUCUGAUCGUGAGGAUCAACUAGGAUACCGUUGUCGAGUACCUGAAUAAAAAUUCAGCAUACAAAAGAUUCAGUUAUCCUAAGUGGAAAUAGAAAAUAAAUGCAAAUACUUUGUUUAAAGAGGAUGUGAAUCAUAUAAUAAACAAACCCGAUGUAUGUCAACAGGGCCUCCAUUCUUUGUGGCCACAAUAGGGAGACCGUGUGCUGCAGCCUACUUGACCAAAGAUAGUAGAGUAAGACAUUUUACAAUAGGUGCCAAGUAUAACACAAAUUUUUAGAUGUAGAGUACUGACCUCAAUCAAAGUGAGGCCAAAUGGCUCGAUGAAAGCCGGAUUUAUAAAAACACCCUGCAAAAGAAGCACAAACCAGUUGAUUGAUGCACAUAAAAACAGGUACAAGUAGGCACAACAUUUCUUUCGCUGUGUACUUCCAUUCAAAUUCUUUUCACCUGGUAGAUCAUUCCGUUCAAAGAAGUGCUCACAGCUAUCUAUUCACAUCUGGAACUCAUUAUCACCUCUAUCCUUUUUCCAUCACCACUUUAUUUAUAUCAAGGAAAAUGGAGGAAGAAUGAGAGGAAAUUAUUCUGGUCUAACAGCAGUAAGCCCUUAAAAAAAAUGAAAAAGAACCCUACCCUUUUCCAACCAUUAUGCAUUGAUCAAGAUAGUAAUUCUUAAAGACCAGCCAUUAUAGAAUAUGGUCAAACUAUUGAAACUGAGCUGAAACUACUAAAACAGACAUAGCUGAUAUACCUAAACCUCGGCCAAAGCAAAUCUGAAGCUUUGGCCCUUGGGCCACACAAUUCAUGCCACUUCUCAGAGAGUAAAUGGUAGCAAACCUUAUGUCAGCAGAAGUCGGUCUACAGUUUCCUUUCAUGUUUGUUCUGCCAUAUGUAAUGCAUAUUGCCUUUGUCCUUCUUUUUUCCCCCCCAAUAAUUUAUCUAAAUACUCAAACAUAUUAUAUGACUAUUGCCAGCUCACUCUACCUGUGCUUUGAUUAGCACAAAACAUGACAAACCCAUUUUUAGGCUCAACUUUGCAAUUUGACCAUCACAGAAGAAAUUGUACCUUCGUUCUUGCUGCCAAGCGAUAGAUAUCCGGAACGUCAGACUGUUUGUGGUGUUUGGGGUAUGCCACUUGACCAUACAGGUCAUACUUAUCAAUCAACUUAAGUAUUGUGGUCAAAACGGCUGAAUUUGUACUGGACAUCUCAUCAAUAUUAUCACGAUUGCCCAUUAUCAGUGUCUGCAGCAUCAAAGUUCCAAAUUAAUAGAAGAUAAAAGAGCAAAUAUGAAAUCUUUUCGAUUCAUGCUAACUAGACAGAUAUAGUGGGUUCAAGGUAAAAUGAAGCUAACUACUUAGCCAAUGUAAGCUUGUAAUUUAACUUACAAGAUUUGCAAGAUGCUGUAAGGGGCGGCAUUCACCAAAUGCCCUAACAAGUGUUGUGAGAUUCUUCUUGGGAUCUGGGCGGGCAAGAGCAAGUAUCAUGGGUUUACGAGGAUUUGUAAAGAACCUCAUUAUCUGUCAUUAAUUUUAUACGCACGUUAAUAAAUGACAAAAAGAAAGAGCAAUUAAUACAGUUCCUGACCAUAAAGAAUACUACCACUGUUUUCGAUGAUUUAGCAUGGAUAAUCAUGAUGUUUGAUAAAACAACAAGAAGCUGAAUAGCAGUGUGUGGACUGCAGGGGGGGCGGGGGAGGGGGGAAACGCUAUUUUGCUAUAGAUAUCUACACAGCAAAUAGCAAAACUUUAACUGAUUCCUCUAAAUAAAAAGUAAAGGAAGGAUCUAGAACCUCGGACCAAAUAGGUGGAUCUGAAGCUGAAACAUCUUCAGCUCCUUCUACAUCGCCAUCCGAAUCAACAUCGUGAACAACAAUGUGACUGAACUCCAUACCAGGAGGAAUUACCUGCAGAGUCCGGUAACGUGAAUUUUAUCUUAAGGCAUAAAAAUGCCACAAAAUAAACUUGAAUCACAUCCAAUAUAAUUGUAGGAUUUAUAUCCAAUACUUCCAGCAACCAAGACGAAAAUAAAAGAUGAAGCAUGCUUGUUUUCAUAUAACAGAAGCCAAGUUCAGGUUUUAUGCCCAGUUCCUUUAUUUAGUAAAAGUGUAGAAAGCCAGCAAUUGGCUCACUAGCCCAAAAACUGAGCUGAGUCUGCAAGGUUGAAGCCAUUUUCAGGAACAGGCUACAAUUUAAAAAAAAAUGAAAUAUUCCUGUCUUGGUGACUUCUGGCCAAACAAAAAACCAUGUCAAAAGUGAAAAGUCCAGUGAAAGUAAAAUUUCAUUGAAGUUCACUUUCAACUGACCAUCCUUGCAUCAGCAAACAAACAGCCUAAAAAGAUUUUGCAGACAAAUAAGUUCAUUCCAUGUUUUAGCAAUUAAGUUGAAAGAUAAAAUAUACUCACAGCUGUACGAGGCAUAUAGCGGCCAAAGCAACUCACACCCCGCUUGAUCCGAGCUCUUAAUUUCUUAGCAAGUAUCACGUCGAAACCAUCAUAUAAAUUCCACUGCUCCUCUACCUCCUGUCUAGUGCUUGUAAUAAUAAUCUCUGAUGCAUCUAAACACAGUUCUUCUCCUUCAAUUCUACGCAUUAUUUUAUACAUUGAAUUUAUUUCUUCCCUUGUUUGCCGCCCUUGUUUCAGAAGCUGUUCUAACUUAUCCCUCCCAAGAGAAUGUCCUGUGAAUACCAUUGGCACGUUGAGUGCCCCAGAUAGAAGCGCAGCAGAGUCCCCUGCAUCGGCGUAAUGCCCAUGAAUUACAACAGGCCAAAUAGGCUCCCCACCACCAAUUUGUUCGCCAAGAGCUUUGGAUAUUUGCAUUAUGUGGCCAAGAGCGCCGUCAACGAAUUCUUGAAUGUAUGGCCAGAGACGUUCUUUCGGGAUGUAUUUAUCUCUGGGUCCAAAUGGUAUGCGAAUUAUAUAAGCGCCGCCACUCUCUCCCAUCUCAUCAUGCAUGCAAUUUUCGGAGUUUCUUGGAGCCAACAUCUCGGUUGGCUCGCCGUAGCUCCAAUCAACAUCUGGCGCGGCGAUUUGCCUCGUAAGCAAAUCGACACGGUAAACCCCAGGAGUUGAGCCUAAAGCUCUAGCAAGUUCUACAACAUACUUGACCUGGAGAAAUGCAACAAGUAAGCAAAUCAAUGGGAGAGGAAAACACACACAUACACACACACACACAAGUGGCAUAAACCUUCAAAAGGAAAGGGUAGUAACUCAACUUUCUUAUCUAACAAAAGGGUAUGAUGAGGAAAAUUAUAUAUACAAGGUAAAAAAAAUUUGCUAAUAAUGAAUUUAUAUGUUUCUGUAGGUACAUAUCAGCACGGCAGAACUACCUGGCCACCAGUAUCAGAAUCCCGACCAAGCUCCAUGUUCUCACCACGUAUCAGACCAUGAAUGCUGCAUGCCGCAAUAUGAUUUGUUAGAAAGAAGAAAACAUAGAGAAGGAAUCAUGAAUAUUAGCAAUGAAAAGCAUAUAUCAACUUCACAGCUCAUUUUAUCAAUUUCAAUGACCUUAUUGCAGUAUGAUCAGCUUCAAUAUUGACAACUGUUAUCCCCAUAUAUAAAUUCACUCUGUUAGUUCAGUGAACGAAUACCUAAAAAAGUAAGGGAAAAUUCAUGUCCUUCCUGUAAAACUUCAUUGCAAUUAUCUAAGCUCUAGAACCCAAAACCAAAACAGUUUUGGAAUAUAGGAAAACACGACAAUCUACAAAUUCACUAUCACAUUGUCGACUCCAUGGCAUCACAUAUUAACCUUAAGGACUGCUAUAUUAAAUAUUCCUGAAUAUCCAACUGCAAAUAAUGACAGGACGUCCAGUGUACCGACGCCAAUCAUUGCUACGGUAAAAGAAGUUUCAUAAAAGUUCAAUAAAAUCUGAUUUAAAAUCUACAGAUGUCAAGCCUGUUCUUCCUAUUUAGUGGAAAGUCUGAAACAUGAAAAAGAAAGGAAAAAAAAAAAUGCAUGCUAAGAUGGAGUCAAGUAUUAUUAUUUGCAAAAAAAGAAUUAUAAAAGUAAAAGAUAAAUUUUAUGACAAGUUCCAUUUCAAAAGAUCCCGAACUGCCGGCUGUGAGCUAAAGAUAAGAUAUGCAUCGAAAAAAAAUGUGCAUCUUGGUAGAAAUGUCAACCGGGCAUUCAUGUAACUGGUAUGCAUGACUACUAGCCUGAAUAGGAGGGGAAAAUAAAAUGCCCCAACCCACACUCUCCCAGUAAAAAUAGGAAAAUACUAUAAUAAUCACUAGAAGUUUGGGCCCAUGCCUUAUCAAUACUAUAUACAUCUUUUUAUCCUUGUGCUGGCUAGCCAAAGCAUCAAAAGCAUCGACUGAGUUAAUCCUGGGCACUCGCCCUCUUGUGCUGUCACCAUGAGCAGAAAGAUCGCCCACAGCAUCUCCUUUCUCUCCCUCAGAGAGGUCUUCAGACAUAUCUGCAGUUGCCUCUCGGCGACCUUUCUCACGCUCAAGACGGCGUUUAGACAGACGCAAGGCUUCCUCUCCUUCAAUCUACAUUACAUGACCAUAAUGGAACAUGAUAAGCAAAAGAUGCAAUGCAACAACUAAUGAGCGUCACAUAAAAAUAGACAACAUAAAUCUCAAUAAAUUAAGAUGACACAUACUUCCUUUACUUCAACGAAGAGUUUCAUGUAUUCUAAAGCAUAAGUAUGGGGAAGUAACGCGUCAAUUGACUAUCUAAUUCGUCUUUUUCGCUAUUAAGGCAUAAGCAGUGUAUAUUUAUCUAGCGAUUACCGAUCACUAUAUAAGAGAUAGUGAUGCUUGCACACGUUGGCCAAAAGAUCGUAACUCCACUCGAGUUAACAAUAAAAUGAAGUAGCGUAUGCGUUCCUUUCCACGUAACCUCUCAGCUGGAAUUAUGGAAGAGCAGAGGCAACAACAGUAUGAAUCAGAAAACACAGAGUCUGCGGAGGCAAAGGUUCCAACUUGAUAGAAAAGCUAAUAUCUACUUCUUAUUGCCUCUAUGCUCAUUUAUAUCCUUGUCUCAGUGAGAUUAACAAAACAAUACUAAAAUAUCAAAAUUGUUCGCCACUCGCCUACCAUUAUUCUCCAUUCUCAUCUUCUUCAAUCCAAAACCAAGAACAAACAAAUAGAGUCGAUAAACUCUGCAACGCUAAAUGGGUAACAGAGAUACAGAUCGUAACUAUCCAUUAUAAUCACAUUACCUCUUCCAAUUCACUCACGCGAGGCAUAAAAGUAUCAGACGAUCACAACAUAAGCGAUCGUCACAACGUGAAUUCGCCCUCAAAAAUCAAAUUAAAACCGUAAACAUUAGAUAAAAAUCAGAAUUUAAAUUCGGAAUGGAAAACCCCCCCCACCUGCUUCUUCUUCCUCGUCAAGUUCCAAAUCCUCCAACACAUGUUCUCGAGCCUCGUGUUCCGCUCCUGCGGACUCCGCAUCGCCGCGGCCUAAAAUCACCAGAAAAUCACAGAAAAAUCACCAAAAAAUCCGAAAAAAAUCGGGGAAAAACAAACAAACAAAAAGAAGAAGAAAAAAGAGCUGCUACUCACGCGAACCCAGGUCUUGUAGAGAUCGGUCUCGUCGAAGCCGGUGAUGACCUCCUCGACGAAGUAGCGCGCGGGGCUGAACCUUCCGCGCUCCCUGAGGAGGAGCGAGGACUUGUCGGCGUCGAUCCCCUUCCCCACGUCGAGGAUCGCCUCCAAGUAGCUAUUCACCCAAUCGUUCCCCGCCAUUGUUGUAGCUCUUCCGAGAGAUAAUCCCCAGAGAGAAUCCCCAGAGAGAGAGAGAGAGAGAGAGAAGAGGCGACGAGGAGUGAGGGGCUCUUCUUCUUUGUCCAAGUAAAUUAGUUGUGUUGUAGAGAGAGAGAGAGAGAGAGAGGGGGUAUAAAUGAAACGGUGAGGGAUGUGGAGAGAGAAAGAGGAGAGAGAGAGAGAGAGAGAGAGAGAGGGUGAGGUGUGAGGGGAUCGAGAAGGGUCGUAAAUUGUAGAGAGAGAGAGAGAGAGAGAGAGAGAGAGAGAGAGAGAGUGAAAUGGAAGGAUUAGGAAUAUUUGCACCAAAAGUACGAGGGUUUAUUAAGAUUUAAAGAAAAGUCACUUUUUUUAUUUUAGCAUUUUAUAAUUUAAAAUAUAUUAUUUUUAGGGAUAACUUCAAAAACCCCGUGGUCUCGCACUUUCUAACUUUAGUACUCUGUGAUUUAAAGUGUAUUAAUUUGCUCCCCUAUGGUUUCGUUUUUUCCCUUUUUUUUUAUCAAUUUUAUUAUUUUUUUUUUCUAAAAUCAGUGACAAAAUUAAAAUUAAAGGGUACUAAAGUAAAUAUUCGGUAAAUCUCGAUGGGUACUUGAAGUUUUUUGUAUAUAAUUUAACGAAACAUUAAGAAAAAAGAUAUAGAAAAAAUAAAAAUAAAACCACAGGGGGCAAAUUGAUGCACUUUAAACCACGGAAUACUAAAGUGAGAAAGUGUGAAACCACAGAGGGGUUUUUGAAGUUUUCCCUUAUUUUUAUACUUUAUAAUUUUUUUUUAAUUUUCUUUAUUAUUUUUUUUUUGUUAAAUCAUCGAUAAAGUUAAAACUAAAAAACACUAAAAGUGAAGAGUUGAGCUAGAAUUAAUUAUGUAAAAUAUCAUAAUUAAUUUUUGCUGGCACAUUGCCGAACUCAAUUAUAAAAUAAUAAUAAAUUAUUAACUCAUUUAUCAUACCUUUCAUUUUUAUACUAUUUAUUUCUAUCAAAUAAAUAGUAGAAUUUAAAAAAAAAUUAAUUAUACAGCUAUACAAAUAAACAAUGAAAAAAAAAAAAUUUUAUCCAAACUAUCUGAAAGUCUGCUUCAACUUGAACUUACCCUAGGGACUGUAAAAUCUAAAGGAGAUAAUUUCAAAUAUAGCCGUAAAAUUUUAAAAUUUCCUCUUACUUUUUUUUAAAAUUUAAAAUAAUAUAUAUGAAUAGUAUUUAUUUUUGUAAGGAUGUUGAAAAUUGGUGGGGGAGGGGGGACUGUUAAGGAUAAGACAUAUUCUGAGGAUUAUGCUUUUGGUAUAUUAAAAAGAGAAAAAGAUGCCUCACUCUUUUAUUCCCUUCACAUUUUGUUUCAAAAGGAGGUUUAGUUGCAUUUGAUAAUACAAAGAGCUCUCAAUUUAAUUCGCUGUUUGUAGGUCAGUUCGUGUUUGACUCAAAAUUGAUUUGAAUUUAGCUGUUCCGUUUAAUAAACAAGUUGAUCGUGAGCUUAUUAUUUUCAGUUUGAAAAAUAAACGAGUUUGACUCAAUAUAAACAAAUAAUGUAUAUAAACAUUAUUUUCAAAUUGAUGUGUAGUAAACUUGAAUACUAUUUUUAUCUUUUUUUUUUUUUUUGUUAGCAUGAAUUUUAAUUUUAAUGCUAGUUAGUCAUUACUAAGAGCAAAAACAAAUAUCAACAAUUAUUAAUUAAUAAUAGUGGUAAUUAUAGUUAGUAGUAAUAUUUAAAGUUCAAACUCAACAACUUUAAUACUUUUUAUCAAAAAAGUGCUUCAAUAUUUUCCAAUUAACAAACUACAAAUGAUUAUAAGAACUUCCAUUGAAAAAUAUAUAUUAAUUUUUUAUUUUUGAAUUAUGGGUCUUAAAAAAAAGAUAAAAUGAUAAAAUUGCCCCCAGCUGGACCCCAAAACAUGGGACCUUAUAAAAGAGUCAAAUAACCAUCAAUCAAGUAACAUUAUUUUAUAAGCAAUCCCAUCUAAUUAUUAUAUAUAUAUAUAUAUAUGCCAAAAUAAUAAUAAUAAUAAUAAUCCCUUUUUAAAUCCCACCCAUGAUUUUGUGCCAACACAUAAGCUCAAAAGAGAACCAUCAAAAAGUAUUAAUAAAUAUAGCUAGUUUAUUAUUAUUAUUAUUAUAUAUUUUUUAAAAAGCCACAUAAGAGAUCUCCUUUUUAUAAAGCAAUGGGACAAGGGGCACACAAUAAGAGGGACAGGUGUUUAACUUUAGGGCACAUUAAUUAAAAAAAUAAUUAGUAGUAGGAGUGUGGCUAAUUAAGUCUUAAGAAUAGGAUUCACAAGCAAAAGAUUAUAUUUUUAUUUAUUUUUAGAAAGAAAAAGUAACUAUAUUUAUUAACCUAAUAAAAAAAGAAAAUGUUCAGAACCCCAUUAGUGCCAAAUAAUAAAUUUUGCAAAAUUUUAUAUAAUUAAUUUAUGUUUGGUCACAUUCUAUAUGGAUGGAGAAAAAAAAAAAAAGAAGUGAAAAAAAAAUAGAAAGAAAAUGAUCUUCUACAAUGGUUAAUAUUUUUUUUCUCUUUUAAUUUAUUUUUUUAUUUCAUUCUCUCAAUCCAAAUGAAGCAAUAAAUAAAAAAAUUAGCUACUUAAUAAAAUUAGCUUGAUAAUAAAACUAUUAAGAUAAUGGUCGAUUUGGCAUUAAAAAUCACUGAACGUCAUUAGAUCAAACAGAGUUAUGAUAAAAUAUAUAAAAAUAUGCUUCUUAAUUUUCUGGUAGGACGACGGAAAAUAUAUUAUAACAAAUUCAUUACGAUAUGCUAAAUAUAAUUUUAUACAAGAAAGCAAGUAAAGUAUUUUUAUUUAUAUUUUGUGACCACACGUAAUAUAAUUUCUCCUAAGUUUUUUUGGAUAUUGUAACCCCCUCCUUUUAGUGGGGAAUACCAUUGACCUUUCACAAUCAGUGAAGAAUAUAUAUACAAUAAAAAAAAUUUCCAUUUGCUAUUAAUGACCCUCUAUAGAGUAAGAGCCAAUUAGAAUAUUGGGUUAAUUUCAUACAGCUUCGUAUAAACAUAUGAAAUAACAAAUAUAUUUCUAUAAAGUUUAACUUUUCAUAUUUAUUUUUACAAAAGUCUAGUGAUAUUCAUAUUUGUCCUUCUGAUUUGUUAUCGUUAGAGCACUAUUUAUCUUUUAACGGAAGAUAAGUGGAAUGAUAUUUUUGCUAUCAUAAAUAUCUCCUUCCAAAAGACCCAACUGUUAGAAUUGUAUAGAAAUGUUCUUCAAAAAAAUUUUAAUGGUUAUUUUUUUUUACCAUCAUAAAUAACUUAUGAGGAAUAAAAUUAUCAAUUUACCUCAUUCACUAAUCAGAAUUAAGUAUUUUUAUUUAUGAUUAACUAUAUUUUUCUAACGGAUCCUAACAGUGGGGUGUAUAUUUGAAAACGCCAAGAUUUCUGUAAGAAUAAAUAUGAAAAAUUGAACAUUGUAGGGAUGCUGACAUUUGUUGAAAAAACAGAAAGGAAAAAGAAAGUGUAAAAAAUUAUUAUUACACUGAUAUUUUUCAUUCCCGAAGUAAAUUUCAUAGGUGAAGUAUUUAACCAACUAUUUGGUUCCUAAAAAAAAAAUAUAGAGAGAAAAUUUUCUAGAAAAAUAAAAAUAAAUCAGUUUUUUUUUUUUUUUUUCAAAAGUUUAUUUUUUUCAGAAUUUGUAGGAUACUAAUACUUUUGUUUUCCGAAAAAAAAAUCAAACAGUAAAAAAUAAUAGUUUUUCAUAAAAUUCGAGAAAAAAAAAGAACUAUUUUUUCUUGGAACCAAACUAGCAAAAAAAAAAAAAAAAAGUUUUUCAUAGAAUUUUUUUUUUUUUUUCAGUAUUGGCUAUUUUCCUCAUAGGUUCAAUUCAAAGGUCUAAUUUCUACAUAAAAAGAAAUAAAAUUAAAUUGAAAUAUGAUGAAAAAAAGUAAUAAUAAAUUUACAAUAUAUAUAGAUAGAUAGAUGCACUUGAUGGUAAUAAUUUGACCUCUUCUAAGAGCUUAGGGACCUCUGAUAAAAAUAAACCACAACAGUAACAAACAAGCCUUAAAUAAUACCACUUUUUCAAAAGUUGUGGGAUGACACUAUUUUUAUUUAUUUAUUUAUUUAUUUUUUGACAUUGUUGCUAUUUCCUUAAUUAUUGAUCAUGUCAAAAAAAAGUGUCAAAAAUUCAAAGCAUGCUCGGAGGAAUGCAAACUAGGCGGAUCUGGGAGCGGAAGCCCCGCCCCAACUAUCGAAAUCCCGUCCUAAGUCCCAUCCCAAAUUCGUGACAGGUUCAAAAAUAUAUUCUAUAAUUUGUUUCGCCUCAUAAUCCACCUCCCGCCAGCGCUCCGAAUCUACCCUGCCAAUUAAUAUUUUUUUUAAAAAAUUAUAAUAUUAUUAAUAUUUUGUAAAGUAUAAAUUAAUAAAUUUUUAAUAAUAAUGAAUAAUAUUACUAAGUUAUAUAUAAAAUUAACAACAUCAAUUAUAAAAAUAAAAAAUAUCAAUCACAACUCCAAACAAAAUUCAAAAGUUUCAAAUACAUGAAAAAUAAGAACACCAACUUAUUUGUAUUUUAGACUUUUUUUAAUAAGUAUAUUAUUUUUUAGGAAUAUUUUUUUAAAUAUAAAUGAUUUUUGGAGCAGGAGCGGGUCAUAGCGGGGCGGAUUCGGAGCGGGUCAAAAUUUUUUCGUUUCGGAUCAUAAAAAUUACCUCAUUUCCUACUCCAAAUUCAUUUAUUUCUUUUCGUUUACUGCCCUAUUCAAGACGGAUCAGGACAGGAGCUCCACCAACUCGGAUUCGUUUGUAUCCUACAUGUGGGGUGAAUUUUUAUUACCUUCAUUUUAAGAGAGUUACUUCCAAUUUGCCUUAAAAAUUUUCAUCAUCAAAAUUUGUGUUUUCAAAAAAGGUUUCUUUAACUGAAGAAUUAUGCUUUUGACUUCCUCGCAAACAAACAAGCCCUUAGUCUUUUCCAUUGCAUUGGAUUUUUAUUUUUUUGAAAUAAUUGUAAUAUGGAUAAAUUGCAUGUUUGAUGCUCAAGUGCUCAACCUAUGAGUCAUGAAACAUUCUCUUUCUCAAACUUUAAUGUAUUAUAAUUUUUAGCACGAACUUUUAAAAUUAUUGUAAUUAAGUCAUGAAGCUCAAUUCAGCUGCCUAAAUAUUAAUAUAUUGCUAAUUUAGAAAUGAUAUAGCAAUAUUGUGAUUAAUGAUACGUCAAUAAUUAAGAUAUCAUAUCACUUUAAUAUCAGCGAUGCGUUAAUAUUUAGUCAACUAAAUUGGACUGUAAAACAUCAUCAUAACAAUUCUUAAAAUUCGGGACAAAUUAUAAUAAAUUAAAGUUUGAGAACAAAAAUAUCACCUGACUUAUAAUUUGAGGAUAAAAUGUGCAACUGACCCUUGUAAUAUUUUAAAUAUCACUAAGUUCAAUUGAGAGCUUCAUGGUUUGUAGGAUUCUAGCCACCAAAAAAAAAAAAAAAAAAAAAAAAAGAAAAGUGGGCCCAGUUUUGCUCAUCCGGUGGAUCUGGCCAGGCAGUCCACAUAAUAUUCCUCAAAAUUUUCAAGAUACAGUCUUUAGAUCUUUUGAGAGUUUGUUACACACAACAAAUAUGUAACUUUUGCUUGGGAUACCCCUUAUGCGUCCCCCAAAGUGCUGCAGAUACGCCAGUAAUGCCAAAGAUUGCCUGCAUCGACCCGCCAACAUACAUUAUGCGUAAUUGCUAGCAUUUCAGCAGCCUUUAAUGAAACCUUUAAUAGUGCCUAUGACUCAUAAAUAAGUAAGACUCUGAUAUAAUUGUUAUGCAACUUCUAAAGUAUCGCCAAUGAUACGCAAUUGUCAGUACAUCAGUAAUCUAUGAGAAUGCUUCUCUCGAAUUCUUCUUAUACAGCCUCUAGAGUGCUUACUGAUGAUAAUAUCGGCGACGUUUGGAGCACGCGUGCAAACCAAUCAAUCGCCAGACAUUAUUGUCAGCACCGCAACAGUCUUUAAAGAAACCUUCGGUGGUAUCCGUAGGAAAGCGAGGGGCUUUUAAGAUGAAGUGAGACAAUAAGGUCGGUUUGUGUGGUCUCUUUCAAGGGCAUGCAUUUGCUUUCAUGAGUUAUCCAGAUUCCUCCACCAUUGACCUCAGAAAGAGGAUAGAGAGAAUAUCAUUGUGAUAAAUAAUAAAGAGAAUUUUAAACCAAUAUAUACAUAUAUAUAUAUAUAUAUAUAGAGAGAGAGAGAGAGAGAGCGCGCGCUAGGCUGGUAUACUAUCGGUAGCAUGAAGGCCUCCAUGCUAUCAAAAUAUUUUCAAUGAUGCGGCUUCCAAAUCGAUGAUCGGCUCCGUUAGACUUGAUCUAUAUUAUUAAAAGUAUUUGGAACUAAAUUUCAUAAUUUUUCGGCAUUAUUUACCUAUCAAACGAGUAGCCUAAAAAUAAACGGCUGAAAUUAAAAAUCUCAUAAAAAAUAAUGAUAAAAGACUUGAAUUUAAGAUCAGAGGACUGAUCUUACUCUAAAUAGUGAAAAAAAAAAUUUUAUAAAAAUUUCAUUAGAUUUGAAUUGUUUUACACCGUUAAAUUUACAAACGCAUCACAUCUAUCAUUAAAAUUGUCAAUUUUGAGACAUUUUGAUUACUAGCCAAAUGAUGCCGAAAAAUUAUAAAAUUUAGUUUCUAAAUAUUUUUAAUAAUGUAGAUCAAGUUUAACAGAGCCGAUCGUCGAUUUGGAAGCCGCAUCAUCGAAAACAACUUGGUAGCACGGAAGCCUCCGUGCUACCGAUAGUAUAGCAGCCGGACUAUAUAUAUAUAUAUAGAAUUAGGCUACUAUACUAUCUAUAAUACCGGAGCUUCGAUACUAUAGUCUUGUUUUCGAUUUUAGGAUAUUCAAAUUAACGAUCCAUACCGUUAAAUAUGAUCUAGAAUAUAUAAAGUUCUUAGGAAUAAAAUUUUAAUUUUUUUCGACAUCGUUUACUUACCAUUUUGGGUAAUUGAAGGUACAAUUAUCUUCAAUCGGAGGCAAUAGCAUUUUGGCCACUUUAGCCACCUUUUUUUUUUUUUUUUUUUCUUUUUCUUUUUCUCCUUUUAUCCAUAAUUUGAAAGAUACAUUAUUUUUUUUUGGGUAAAUUUCCCCUAUGGUCCGCAAACUAUGAGAUGGGUGAUAUUUCAGUUCUCAAUUUUUAAUUUAUUUAUUAUAAUUCCGACUCAAACUUUUAAAAUUAUUACAAUCAAAUCUCAUAACUCAAUUUAGUUAACUAAAUAUUAGACCCAACUACGUUGACUAAUUAUUAAGCUAUCGCUGAUAUAGAAAUGAUGUAGCAAUAUUGUGAUUGCUGACACGAUAAUAAUUAAAAUAUCACGUCACUAUUAUACUACCGAUGUACUAAUAUUUACUUAAAUAAAUUAUAUUAUAGGAUUUAAUUGCAAUAAUUCUAAAAGUCAAGCCAAAACCUAUAAUAAAUUAAAAAUUGAGUACUAAGAUAUCACCCGUCUUAUUAUAGUUUUGAGGGCCAAACAUGCAAUUUAUCCUUUUAUUUUUGUUCUCCCUUUUAACUCAUCUGAGUGUAAUAUAUCUAAAAAUUAAGAGGUUAAUUUAGAAAGAAAAUUACCUCAUUAUGCUUAUUUUAAUACAACGACUAGUACCGUAAUCAUUACCUAAUUAGUUAUUAUUCAAAAGGUCAGAAGUUUGAACCACUGUGAGCUUCUUUUCUUACACUUUUAGUUCUUUUCAUUUCUCUAUAGUCAUCAAUUCCUUGUGAUUGAGUAAAUGAGCUUUUCUAUUCUUAUUAACGUUAGUCGCGAACUUAUCUUAAACAAAUAAGGAAACAAAUAUGUACUAAAUAUUAAUUUUCCACUCUCUCACAGAGCCAAUUAAGUCAAAUAAUAUUUGAAUCAAAUAAAAUUAAGCAUAACCAAACAAGAUUUCAAGGUGCCACAUCCUUUUGUUUUUCUCACCAGCCACUUAAAUAGCUAUCAAUAACCUUUUUCUUUUGAACUACAUUAGGCCUUAUUAUUAAAAAAAAAAAAAAAAAAAAAAAAAAAAAAAAAAAAAAAACCACCUCUAUGUUUUUGCGCUUUAUCACUUUAAUGCCCUGUAAUUUUAUUUUUCUCUUUCUGUUAUCCCUUCUAUUAAUUUUUUUGUUAAAUCAGUAACAAGUUAAAACUACAAGGUACUAAAGUGAAAAUUCGAUAAACUAUAAUAAGAUGCUAAAGUGAAUAUUCGAUAAAUCAUAGGUGAGGUAUCUGAAGUUUUUUUUAUAUACAAAGAGUUAACGAAAAUAGAAAAAUGAAACCACAGGAUAUUAAAGUAAUACACUUUAAACCACAGGGUAUUAAAGUAAGAAACCGCGAAACUACUGAGGUGGUAUUUGAAAUUUACCCAAAAAAAAAGAAGAGAGAAUCAUGGGCCAAAAGAAGGAAGCAAAUUUCCUACAAACACGUGCAUAGGAUUCCCUACGCAUGGGGUUCAUCCGGCCGCUGAUUUUUAGUAUAAUUAAUCUACACUAUCUGAAAUAGACGGCGCAGAUUAACUCCGCUAAAAUCCAACAACCGGAUCAACUCCGUCCGUAGGAUUACGUAAAAAAUGGAAGAAAAAUUCCUACAACCCUAUGCUUAAGAUUCCUUACGCACGGGAUUCAUCCAGCCGCUGGUUUCUAGUAUAUUUACUCCACGCCGUUCGAUAUUAGACUACAUGGAUUAAUCCCGCUAAAAUCCAACGGCGGGAUCAACCCCGUGCGCAGCGAAUCCUACGCGUGGGGUUGUGCACAAUUUGAACCUCAAAAAUAAAAUAAAAAAUAAAAAUAAAAACAAUAAGAUAUCUAAGCAAUUAUGUUCAUUUGGCAGAAAAAAAGAGGGUUUGCACAUGUUAGGGCAAAUGUUGUAGGCACAGUUCACAUGGCAAUGUGGGAGCAUUAUUGCUGUUUUUUAAAAAAAGAGGAGUAAAAAACAAAAUUUCUGAUUUAUAGGUAUGACUGCUACCAAACCAUCUUUUUGUGUGUGUGUGUGUGUGUGUGUGUUCUUCUGCCAAAUUUUUCAUCAAAGCACGACGAAUUUUGAUAAUUCAAACUUGAUUCGAGACUCAGAACUGAAUCUUUGUAGGUGAUUGCAAGGUGAACUCGCGCAAAGUUGGCCAAGGUCAAAUGUGAUCUACAAUAUCUAAACAGACCUGACUGUAAAUCUUAUCUUAAAAAAAAUAAAAAUCAGAAAUUUUGGAUACUAAGAUUCUCAUAGACAGAGAAAUAACCUUGUUUAAAAAGGAUAAAACUCGAGAGUACUAGUAUUAUUUUUGUGUAUGAAAUCGAACUAUUGAAACAAAAUCUAAAAGAACUGUUUUUGGGAGAAAACUCAGAAUCAGUGGAAUUCACUAGUAUUGUUUGUUCUAACUCUUCUUCUGACGGUAUGCUUUUCAUCGAAGUCAUUCCUCCACUAUUUUCAGCAGUAAAACCAAUUUCUACGACCCGAAAGAUCUAUUUCUCAGGGAAUAUGUUAUUUUAGACAUGAUCAACUACUGAAACUUAUUUAAACGGUACAUUCACAUUUCUGGAAAUAAAACACCGAUAAAGAUAAAUGCACGGGGUACAGAAAACGCAUUUCCAGUUUCUCCAUACCUCAGAAGAAGAAGAAGCAGCCCUUUCGACAUUUGAUUAGUUCUCAGAGCGAAGCAACGAAGACGUCGCGUCUCUGGGAAUGAUGAUUCUUCUUCAGCCUCCUCCGUCGAGUGUUGCUCGCCCUGGUUAUUGUGGUAUGUUAAUUGAUCAACGAAUAGGGCAAUGGCACUUCGUGCGCUCAAGUAUUAAAAAAACAUAUAUGUACAUUUAUUUUUGAAUGGCAUGUAUUAUUCAACCCAACAGAUAAAUCAGUUCGACGAGAAAUGUUCGGAUCGUAAUGUUAGGUUCUCAAUGAGCGAUUACGACCUUCUCUGAAAUCAAAUCCCUCAUCACCACAUCCUAGAUUCCUGAUAAGAAGUGGCUUACUGUUGAAUAUGAAAAAAGCUUUCGACAGAACUUCAGGUUUCGAGCAAAUCGGUUUGGAAAAACAAGCAACAAAAAAGCCACCAGAAGAUGUAUUAUAGCUCUAGUUAGCUUAAAACUCCUAAAAAAACUGUAAACGAUUGCAAAUAUGAGUACGUAAAACUCACCAAUAUUGGUUGUGAAAUACGACGAAGUCGGUUGGUACUUGCUUUCCGUCAUCAUUUCUGUUCCAAUGGUACAAAGCAUGGGUUCUAUUCUUAAGCUCUAAUGUAGAAUGACCAUAACUUGCCUCCCUGAAUGCCGAAUAGUCGGGCUGUGGAUCGGAGAACCUGAACAAUGAAGAUUUAGAAAAGCAUCAUUACCAUAUGUGUCUAAAUUAUCGGCAAAAGAGAAAAGGAAAAAAAAAAAACAAAUACAAAGAGAGUUAGUAGUGGAUAUUUCCCUUACCGUAAAGCAAGGCCUUCCUGAUUCCCUCCAUCGCCGACAGUUACGUAAACAGGAGCGCAUUUGUCGGGCACAGGAUAACGAUUGCCCGAUGUUACGUUGUAGUUGAUGUUAGAGAUACGGUACUGUAAAAAAUGAUCCAUAUCGCAAUUAGACCCACAAAGAAAACAAGAUAACAGUGUUUACUUCCCGUAGGGGAUAUUAAAAUUCGUACUACUUGGAUCAUGCAUAUAUCCCUCCAUGUUGCAAUUUCACACACACAAGAAAAAAGAAAACCUUAACUUGGAGUAAUAAUAAUUCAUGAUCAAAAGUUACAAAACUAAUUCUUAAAAAUUCUAUCAGCGGCAUAUCGACUAAUAGGAACUGAUGAGUGAAUUACCGAUCUCUCGUAGGCGUGAACAUGGCCCGCAAAGACGAUGUCAACUUUAUAUUGUACAAACCAACUCUCAAACGCGGCCCGCAUACUCUCCCCUUCCAUGUAGUGAGCUUCGUUGCUGUUGUAGAGUGGCGCAUGCAUGAGCACAAUAAGCCACGGUGUCCGCUCCCUGUCCACUUGCUGCAGUUCCCCUUUAAGCCACCACCAUUGAGGAGUGUAUUUAACUGAUUCAAGGUCAUUCGUUUCAUUCAAUACAAAUGAGAGAAGAAGAAAAUGUUGGCAAAAAAAAAAAGAAGUACAACCUAAAAUGAAAAGCUUAGGCUUUAUCUGGUUAUUCUUACGCUUCUACUUCUUUUUUUUUCUAUAUUUUUGUAACUCGAAUUAUGUACAAUUUAAUGUGGGUUAGCUUGCAAACCCAUCCUCUUUUGAAACAAAUAAAGUAGCAAAGAAUAGUUACUACUGAGGCCUCAUUCGAUGUACAUUUUUACGUGUUUUCCUAAACUCAAAUUCUAUGUCAUUGAAAAAUAAAAAAGAUAACCAUGUAUAGAUUCGAGUGCGCAUUGGAUGGGCUUCUUUGUUCUUGUUAUUAUUGGUUAGCUUUUAACUCGGCUUUCUUAAAAAGACAAAGUAAGCGAAAGAAAAAUUAGGACUUCUCUGUUCUUGUUAUUUUUUCUUUUUUCUUUUCUUUUCUUUUUGGCCAAACAAAAAUAUAUAGAUUGAAAAAAACCUGCCACAAGCCAGUGGAUUCAAUCACGUACGAUUUGAGCUUUAAAAAACAAAAUAUAUGUGUAUCUAAAAUGAUUCUUUUUUUCCGUGCAUAGAAUGGAAAUAAUCUGGCAUCAAAUCACAUAGAAUUCAGUUAAAAAGAAAAAGAAAAAAACGUAAGCACAACUGAAGGAGCCCUAAGAAUACAGUUACCAUUUAAAACUAGAGAAAUUUUGAUUCGAUAUAUUCUUAUCUGUAGUAUCAAAAUAUAGUUUAUUCAAUUUGAGUAUGGAUCGACCUGAUGAAAUUGCUUACUGGCAAAGACAAAUAAAAAGCGGCGAUGUAUUACCAAAAGGAGAAUAGCUCGAAAGCACAAUGAUGUGGGCAGAUGCGCGCCUGACUGCAUACCACAUGGGAGAACUGCUCUUCGAAGCCAAGUAAGGAGUUGUAACUCGAUGUAAAUACGGUUUGAAAGUAGCAACUUCUCCCUGAUCAAAUCAAUAAACAGAAACGAAAAAAGGAAAGAUAUAAGAACAGAAUUUGGAAAAUUUUCCUAUUACAAUACAAGUUGUAAGCUGGAUAUCCGACUGGUUUGAUUUGGGCAAAAGCACGCGGACUAGUCAAGUUUUAGAAACAUGGUUUUUAAGAGCUAUAGUUCCCUAUCACAUUUUGAAAUAGCGAAUUGAAGCCUCCACACUCACUACAGAAAGUUGCUGGGUUAAUCUUAUAUCGACGAAUAAAUACAGAAGGCGGGCAUAAAGCGGAAGCAAACAUGACAAAGAAGUUACCAGUUCAGGUCUGUAUUCUAUUUCAUGAUUUCCAGCAGUCCAAAUCCACGGCUGAUACGCAGCGCUGCGUUCAAUAAACCGGCCCCAUGUAUCCCAGCGUAUACCAUCGUUGUGUUCGUAUCUAUCAGAAUAAGAUAGGUCUCCAACGAAUAGAACACUUUGUGCUCCGCUGUGCAUGUAGUGCUGAAGAGUGGAAAGAGAAUUAUACGUUUGCCCCAAAUCACCUAACAGCAUUUCAGUUAAAAAAUAUUAAUGAUUCAAGAACAGGGGGAAAAAAGUGAACUAAAAAUGAUGGAUGUAAUUCGAGGAAAGUGCGAAUCCAAGAAAAUAGACUUCAUCCAGUUCAUUUAGUUUAAAACUGUUGUGUUUAUAGACCAUUCAAUCCACAUAAGAUCAAAGUAUUCUAAACACUUCAUGACAAACGAUGUUGGCAAUCAAUUAAUUUGUUUAUAUAUUAGUAUUUCGCAGGUAUGAUUACGUAUAGCCCACGAUUAGUCGAUUUGAUGCAUCGUUAAGAAAUAUAUGAAAGCUUAGGUUCCGAGUGACCCCAAAUAUCAUGAAUAACUAGCCAAGGUGCAAUAUGCUGCCAGCUAACAUCCACCAACAAUUGAUCCCAGCCUUUACGUGACGUAAAAAGAUUUGCACCCCAUCUUUAUGUUAAAUUUAUUUGAUACUAGCAACAUAAGUUAGGAUCACAUCACUUUGAUCACGACUAGUGCGAGCAAAUGUAGCAAGGUGACUAGACACGAAUCCAUUCUUCAUGCUUAUAGUAUUUCGCAGGUAUGAUUACGUAUAGCCCACGAUUAGUCGAUUUGAUGCAUCAUUAAGAAAUAUAUGAAAGCUUAGGUUCCGAGUGACCCCAAAUAUCAUGAAUAACUAGCCAAGGUGCAAUAUGCUGCCAGCUAACAUCCACCAACAAUUGAUCCCAGCCUUUACGUGACGUAAAAAGAUUUGCACCCCAUCUUUAUGUUAAAUUUAUUUGAUACUAGCAACAUAAGUUAGGAUCACAUCACUUUGAUCACGACUAGUGCGAGCAAAUGUAGCAAGGUGACUAGACACGAAUCCAUUCUUCAUGCUUAUAUGCUUGAAUAUGGUGUUUGCAUGCGUAUGCGUGAAUGCAUAUAUAGAGGGGAAUUUUAUGUUGCAAAAGGUGGAAAACUAUGCUAACUUCAAAAGAUAGAGUACCGUUUCUUAAGCUUCUUAGAUAAACUGCGGGGUGGAAAAUUCACACACAAGAAAAAAAGAGUGAGGAAAGAGUUGACACACCUAUAAUACCAAAAGCAUAGGGAGCAUCUGGAUCAACAGCAGGUGGCGUUUGGAACCAAAAUUCCCGAGCUGAAUCACCUGUCCCGAUCUUGUAAUAGUACUUGGUGUCGUACUGAAAGGAGAAAUAGGAUUGUAAGAUUCAGGAACAAUGAAACAAACAGUUAAAAAACUAUUAGUAUUUAUAAGUAUUUAAUCAGUUACCUCAAGGUCAUCAACAAGGCAGUGGUGUAAGUAACCAGAUGUAUAAUCGUAAAAUGUAUAAUUUGUAUAUCUCCCUUGAGCCGUACGGUCAUAUUUAUGCUCUUCUUUACUAUAUAGAACUUCGCUUUUCCCGGGCUCAGAGGUUGUUACCCACGAGAUAACAACAGCUUUUCCAUCAUAGUCGCCCUGAGUGAUAUGGACCUAACCAUAAAAUCCGAACAGUGAGCAUGGGUUUCACCAUGGCUGAUGAAGGUAUUCGAAUAGCGGCAAAAGACAUAAUGCAAUGAGGGUGAAGGAAGGCUACACACUUAAGUACAGUUAGAGAAAACUUACAGGCCGUGAUUCACUAACAAUACAUCAGUUUGAGUUUAGAUAGAAAAAAAAUAAAAUAAAAUUCUCGAACAAAUUGGUGCUAAUAAAUUAUGCCCGCAUUCACGUCCCUAUCUUGUGGAAAAAGUUUUUUUUUUUGCAAUAUUUAUUAAACAAGAUAAAGUCAGUAUCUACACAUCCAACGACGAUCACAUCAAUACAAAAGUGAUAUUUAAUCAGAUAUAAAGAUAACCCUUUUAAGGUGCUUAAAUUAAUAAGUUGAUACGACAAAUACCUGUUCGGGUGCAUUAUAGCCCUUCGGAACUGCAAACACUUCACUGUCUAGAGGGAUGUCGGUAGAAGGCCAUUCAGAACGGACAAACGAACUUGUAUGCCUAGAAAUGACAAUGUCCACAAAGUACACAAGAUAAAGCGAAAAGCCAAGUAGGAUGCUUCGGAACUCCAUAGGAUUAGACAGUUAAUUUAACAUUUAACCUGUGACAACCAAACAGCAGUUUGCAUUACAUUAGUAAAGGACGAAUAUUAAUUAAAGAUAGAGUAUCGAGACCAUAGACAAAGAUAAGACAUUUGUUCAUCAAAAGGAAUCGCAAUCGAAGAUCAGGUCAAUACAUGCAGUUUGAUGUUUAUGAUCCAUUAAUGGCAAUACAAGAUAUCAAAAAUUUGGAAAUGGAAGUUCUAAGUACAUUCUACGGUAAUUUGAAUUGUUGUGAUUAACCUAAGAUUCUGCUCAAUUAACUGUUCAUGACCAAAGAGUGAAAAUGCCCAAGAAAUUUCCAAUUACUUCAACUCGAGAAAAUGAAAUGUCACAUGGGCUAAAGUAGCGACGAUGGAAAGGCAAAAUGAAAUGUAAAUUGACAUACAAGCCGAGGAAAACCGCAUAGUUUGAAAAACGAAUAACAAGUAAUCUCAAAUUAAGGGUGUGUUUGGUUGGCCGUAAAAUGUACUGAAAAUUAUUUUUCGGCUUGAAAAAUAUAUUUUCCGUGUGUUUGUUUAGCCGUAAAAUUUUCUUUUCGGAAAACUAUUUUUACAUAUUUGAGGAAAACGAAGUGUUUUUGUUUUUUGCUGAUUUUCAGUGGAAAACAAAAUUCAAGCUACGUAAAACUUUUUUCAUUUAUUUUUUUUUCCACUGAACCAAACAAAUGUAGAUUUUUUUUCCUUUCAACCAAACAAAUGUUGAUAGAAAAUUACUUUUUUUUUCCUACAAACCAAACACUACAAAACGUACCCACGGAAAACUAUUUUUCACAGUUUCCCGUACAACCAAACACCCCCUAAAGCUCAAUCAUUGUGGCGUCAGCAAUAUGGAGAGUAAACCAUUAUUUAUAGCAAACAUAUCACUUAAAAAGACGAGCACUUCAAAUUUCGAACUUCAAACUAGCUACCUUAGCAGAUUCUAUUGUGGAGAAGGUUUUUUCUUCUUUUUUGAGAAUGAAAUCAAAUGAUCGUCACCAUUCAUAAUACGGAAAAUCCUCGAAUCCAAUAAGAACAGCAAAUAAUCUUAAUUAUCAUACUACAACAAACAAAUUCAGCAAGAACUGCGACAAAAUAAACCUACAAUGAUUCAGCCCACCAAUCAAUAAAAUUUCGCAGUCCUAUUUGUCGGAGAAAAAUGGUAAUCAUCAAUUCUAAUAACAAUCAUAAUAAACAUCAUAUAAUCUAUAUGAUUCUAAUUGCGACGAAAAGGUACAGGGUCAUUAUCAUGGUGGGUUGGAUAAUUCCAUUUCCUUUGAACCCAAGGAUCCUCCAAGAUCAAAAUGGUUUGAUACCAACCAACCCAAUCAAUCACUUUCAUCAUUAUUAACAACAAUUCUGGUUGCCCAAAAAAACAAAAGCAAAGAAAAAUGGUGUUUUGAAAUCCUGAUUCCCAAAAAAAAAAAAAAACAUCUUUGAUCAAAAUUAAUUAUAAAAUUUGGAAAGGAAAAAAAAACCAAUCAAUCUCUUCAUCAAUCUUAACAACAUUUCUUGUUGGAAAAAAAAAAAAAAAACAGUAUGCAAAAUGGCGUUUUGGAACCCUAACUCCAAAGGGGGAAAAAAAACCAAUCUUUGAUUAAAAAAAAAAAAUAACCAUCAAAUUUGAAAAAACAACAAAAAAGAAAAAAACCUUAAUCAAUCUCUUCAUCAAUGUUAACAGCAUUUUUUUGUUGCAAAAAAAUACUAACCAAAAUGGUGUUUUGAAACCCAAAUUCCCAAGAAAAUUUUUUUGAUGAAAUUAACCAUAAAAUUUGGACAAAAAAAAGCCCAUUCAAUCGCUUCAUCAAUAUUAACAAAAUUUGUUGUUGCAAAAUUUUUUAAAAAAGAGAGAGAGAGAGUAAUGCACUAACCAAAAUGGCAUUUUGAAGCCCUAAUUCCCAAAAUAAAAACCCAAUUUUUGAUCAAAAUUAAUCAUAAAAUUUGGAAAAAAAGAAAAAAAAAAUCGAAACUUGAACGGAUUCGAGGGGGGUAGGUUCCUCACGCAGUGGGGACACGGCACGCAGUGGUGAGACGCGGCGUGCGCCGUCCAAGUGGCGGCGCCGCCCAAUCGGACGGCCGAGAUCGAGCCGCGGUGGAGAGAGGAGGAGAGGAGGAGGAGGAUGCUCCGUUUUUAUGCGGCUCUUUUAUGCGGCCUCACGUGGGAGAAAGAUUAGGGAGAGCCGUAGAAUCAAAGCGUGGGGACAAAAGAGAGGGUAGAAUCGGAAUAGUGGGAAAAUUGUAGGGGUACUUUGGGAAUUUUGGUGGUGAAAAGAGAGACUUUUUGGGUAAACAUUUAUGGUGACCACCCUCAACUAUAGGCAAAUUCAAAACAACUACCUCAACUUCUAAAUUCGUUCAUUUGAGUUGUUAGUGUUGAUCUAAAAUUUAAUAACCUACUAAUUAUUAAUUAGUUUAGUUUUAUUUGCUAAAAAAUAAUUAAAUUUAUUAAAUUUUAAAAAAAUCACUAACAAAUUUAAAAGAAUCUCCAAAAGUCUUAACUACACAUUAUAUGUUAAUAGUUUUUUUUGGGCUAAAUUACAUAAAACCCUCCUGUCUAAACCUGUUUUUUCACUUUUUCCUUCUGUCAUUUAAAAACCUACACUUUGACCCCUUAUAAAAUAAAAAAUAUUCACUUCGCCCCCUGCCGUUAGUAAUCCGUUAGGGUUCUGUUUAUAAAAUAUUAUUAUAUAUUUUUUUAUGCGAAAAAUGUCCUCAGCCUUUUCUCCUAUGAAUAUGAUGAGAGACAAAAUAGUGAGGGGCAAAAUAAUCAUUUUAUCAUCAUAAUUCACACCGUACCCUAUGUGAACAUUUUUUAUUUUACAAGGGGACAAAAUAUAGGUUUUUAAAUGACAGAAAAAAAUGGGGUUUUCGGUAAUUUAGCCUUUUUUUUUUAUUUCUCACAUUAUACUAUUUUUUCAAAGACAUUAAAAUAUCUUUUUCUUAUCAAUCUAUACACUAAACUUUAGAUUUGUUUUAUUUACUAUGCCGUAUUAUUUUUUUGACCUUACUAAACUACUAUUUUCUAGUUAGGGAUAACACUUAGGCGUGUUUGGUUCGAAGUCGGAAUCAGAAUCGGAAUCGAAAUCAAAAUAAGCUGGAAUCGGAAUCGGGAUGACUCAUUACCUAAUUUUGUUUGGUUCAUUACCUGAAUCGGAAUUGGAAUAAAUCAUUCCCAUUGUCGGUGUUUGGUUCAGGUGAAUAUAAAAAACGUAAUCAAAUUAAUAUACUAAUAUUAGCUUUAUAAUAUAUUAAUUUAAAUUCAAAUUAAAUAUUAAAUAUUAAAAAUUUACAUCAAAAUUUUGAAAUAAUGUCAAAAUUUUAAAUCUAUUUUUUUUAAAAAAAAUAAAAAUUUGAAGUUGAGUGGAUAAUUCAAAAUAUGAAACUAAAUUUUUGAUUUAUUCAAAUUCAAAAUAAAAAUUAAAAUUUAAUUUAAAUUCAAAUUCAUAAGUUAGAUUCGAAAUACUUGAUUAAAUUUUAAUUUUUAAUUUAAGUUCAAAUUAAAAUUUAAAAUUAUAUAUUUAAUUUUUAAAUUUUAACUCAUAUUUUAAUUAAAAAAGUUGAAAAAAUAAAUUUAAUCCGAAUAAAUAUUCAUUCCAUCCGGAUUCAACUUCCAAUCCGGCCUCCUAGCCGGAUUGAAAAAAGAGGUGAUUGGGGGAUUCCUAUUUCACUCGGGAAUCGGAAUCGGAAUGGGACUCCCGCGUUCCAAACACCCACAAACAAAUUUAUCUGUUCCGAUUCCGAUUCCAAGGUGAAAAAGAAGCGAACCAAACACGCCUGCAAUAUUAUUAAGAAAUUUAUUAUUUUACACGAAAACUCUCACUUCUAUAGAGAGAAUUGAGAGAAACUUGCUUAAUAGCACUUAAAAAAAAAAAGAAAAAGAAGACCUUUCAAGAUAAAUUUAUUAAAAGCUUAUAAAAAAGUAUUUCCCAGUAUUUUUCUACUAUUUCAAGCUUUUUAAAUUUUUAUCAAAAUAAACCGAAUAUAUAUCUCAGCAUUUGUAACCAAUACUUUUUAAAAUAUAGAGAUUGAUUUUUUUUAAAAAAAGAUACUUCUAGUAUCACUAAAAGAGUCGUGCUACCCAUACACCCCAUAUUGAGUUGUAGAUCCUACAACUCUUGAAUCCAACGUAUGAUAUAAAAUUUGAGGAGGCAAUUUCAUAAUAGCACAUAGUUGAGGGGUCUCUAUGCAUUUUUUACUGAAAAGUAUGUAUUGCUCAUGUUCUCUGAUUAUUAGGGGUGACACAUGCUUAACUCAAAUAAUAUGUUUUAUUAGUUUAGAAGAUUCAUGGUUUAAACGAAAGCAACCUCGCUCUCUCUGUCGUACAAUAUUUAUGAUUGCCAUAGAAUGCAUUCAAGUCAUUACAUUUAAGGGAAAAUUUCAAAAACCCCCUGUCGUUUCACAUUUUUUUAUUCUAGUAUCAUAUGGUUUAAAGUGAUUAAGUUAGUACCCUAUGGUUUCGCACUUUCUCACUUUAGUACCCUGUGAUUUAAAGUGUAUCUAAUUAGUACUCUGUGAUUUUAUUUUUGUAUCAAGUUAGUACCCUAUGGUUUUUAAACCACAGGAUACUAAAGUGAGAAAGUGUAAAACCACAUGGUACUAAAGUGAGAAAAUGCGAAAUCACAGGAUACUAAAUUGAUACACUUUAAACCACAGGGUACUAAAGUGAAAAAGUGCAAAACCAUAUGGUACUAACUUGGUACACUUUAAACCACAGGGUACCAAAGUGAGAACGAGUGAAACCACAAGGGGGUAUUUGAAGUUUUUUCUAUAUUUAAAUGUAUUAUAAGCAUUGCUGGACAUGGGGCUCAUCAUUGGGCAUUUGGGCUUCAACCUCUAGGCGGGGGCUUUUUUUGCAUUCGGCCCUUGAAAAAAAAUUAUUUUAAAAAUAACUCCAGCAAAUUUAUAUUUACAAAAAUGGUCAUAGCUCUACCACGCAGGCGCCACGUCAGUGCCACGUGAGCGUGCUGUGGCCGGUUUGUUAAGUUGAACACGAUGAAUCAUUUACCGUGUUUAGACACGGUGAAUGAUUUACCGUGUUUAGACACGGUGAAUGAUUUACCGUGUUUGAAGAAAAUAUAAUAUAUAUGUAUUGCGAAAAAAUAUAAGGAAAAUAUAUAGGAGUGCUUGAACACGGUGAAUGUGGAAUGAGAAGAAUAUAGGUAUGGAACAUGGUGAACCAUUCACCGUGUUUGAACACGGUGAAUGAUUCACCGUGUUUGGGAAAAAUAUAAUAUAUUGUAUUGCGAAAAAAUAUAAGAAAAGUAUAUGGGGGUGUUUAAACACGGUGAAUGAAGAAAGGAAUAUAGGUAUGGACCACAGUGAACCAUUCACUGUGUUUGAACAUAGUGAAUGAUUCACUGUAUUCAACUUAAAACCAUAGUGCUGAUGUGGCGCCUGCGUGGCGGGGAUAGGGCCAAAUUUGUAAUUAUAAAUUUGAUGGGGUUAUUUGUAAAAAAAAAAGUAUUUUGAGAGGGCCAAAUGCAAAAAAAAGCCCUCUAGGUGGGGUUGUCAGUGGAUACAGAUAUCUAAAAUUUUAUCAGAAUUUGAAUAUGAGUGAAGCAAGUUUAUUUGAAGCUAAAGGGAUAUGGUUUCGGAUACGGAUAUAAGAAAUAAAAAUCGGACGGAUUCGGGUUCGGAUAUAAAUUUUGUCUGAAUCUAUUAUGAACCCAAAUAACUUUUACAUUAUAUAAUAUAUAUGAAAAUUUAGUCUUAUAUCUGAAUUUGUACUUUGAUACUUAGAUUUUAAUAUAAUACGUUUGAAAUGCGGUAAAAAGACAUAAUUGUUUUAUAUUCGAUUUUGGAUGUGGAAUUUCAAAACUUGUCGGGUUCAGAUUUAAAUUUGGGUUUGGGGUUUGGUUGUCGGGUUCGGAUUCGGGUUUUUAAAACCUAGCCUGAAUCCGACCUGUUGACGCUCCUAACUUUUACUUUUUUUCAAGAAUAAAAAAGUACAGUUAAAACUAUAUGCAACGAAAUAAUAUUUUAUAUUAAAUCUCAAGCACUUCACCAUCCAAGUAAAUGGUGACCGAAAUAUGUUAUCGAAAUAUGUUAUAUGUACAUUCAAAAAUAAAUUCUAAAUAUUACAUCCAUCCAUCCUAAAAUAAAAUUAGUAGUUUUUGGAUGGAUAGUAUUCAAUUUAGGGUUAAUUACGCUAGUAGUCCCCAACCUUUUCAUCAAUUUUCACUUGGAUCCCUAACUUUUUUUUUUUGCAAUUAAAUCCUUAAUCUCUUGAUUUUAUUACAAUUAGGUCCCAACCGUUAAAAAAUCUAUUAAAAUUAACGGAAUCCUCACGUCAGCGCCUAUUUGGCAUCCUUUUGCAUGUUAAUUUAGGUUUCUAAACUUUGCACAUUUUUUACUUUAGUCUCUAAAAAUAAAAAUUCAAAAUUUUAAAUUUAAAAUCAAAAAUAAUAUUAAAAUUUUUUUGCAAUCCGCUGACACAACGCUACCGUGGUACUGACAUGGUCCCUCCGUGGCGCUGACAUGGUGCUGACGUGGGUAUUUUUCGUCAAUUUUAACACCUGUCUAACUGCUGGGACUUAAUUGAAAUGAAAUCAAGAGAUUAGAUACUCAAUUGCAAAAAAAAAAGGUUAGGGACCUAAGUGAAAAUUGGUGAAAAGGUUGGGGACUACUAGUGUAAUUAACCCUUAAAUUUAUACUGAUACUUUUAAGUGUACAGCUAGCAUUGUUCUGCUCGGCAGCGGAAAAUUGAUAUGGGACUAUGGUUAUACUCAAGAGGUUAGGAGGGUUAAGCGUGCUAGAAUUAGAAUAGUUCUAGGAUGGUUGAUUCUCUAAAAAGUGGGGCGUCACAGGUAAUAUUGGUUAAGCUCAGGAGGUUAAGACGGUUAAGUAUGUUAGAACUAGAGUAGCUCUAGAAUAGAUGAUCCUCUGGGAAGCGGGGCGUCAUAGUUAGUAUUAAAGCCAAUCGCCAGUAGGAAAUAUGAGAUGAUAUAACGGGCGGAGCCCGGCUCCCGGACUGAUGAUUGUUGUGGGUGGAGCGCCACUCUCCACAAGGUUGGCUAUGACUAGCAAGACUGAGAAGUGAGACAUCACAACUAAUCUAGUCCUAGACUCUCUCAAACUUUGGGCUUAGCUACUAUCCAAAAUACUAUAACUGAAUUAAGAUAUUUAACUAUACUAUACCUUAUAUAUGGAACUAUUCCAAAUCCCGAGGGUGUCACAUUUCCUCCUUUCCUCUUUAAGCUUUGAUGUUCUCAUCAAACUCACAAACACCAGAUGAUGUGAGACUCCUCUUGCUAGACUUAACGGAUCUUGUGGAAAACCACACUCUGCCCACAAUGACUGUCAGCCGAAAAACCGCGCUCUACCGGCUACAUGAUUUUACCUCAGCCGAAGAUCAUUUCACACUUCUAAUUGGUAAUUGACUCUGAUACUAAUUGUGACAGCCUAAACUACUCUUAAUUUUAGAGCAUGCUCAAAGCGAUUUUAAUUUUUCUCAGCCUUAUAAAGAAUUGGAGGUGCAUUUCAACAGUAUCAGACUAAUGCUUCUCCAAUGGCUGGGGUUCUAACCAUCAUUUUAUUUAGAAAAAAACUUCAAAUACAAUCCAUGUAGUUUCGCACUUUUCCACUUUAUUAUCAUGUGGUUUAAAGUGUAUCACUUUCAUACUCCGUGAUUUUAUUUUUCUCUUUUUAUUAUCCCUUCCACUAUAUUUUCGUUAAAUCAGUGACAAAGUUAAAACUAAAAGGUAUUAAAGUAAAUAUUCGAUAAAUUACAGGUGAGGUAUCUGAAAUUUUUUUGUAUAUAAUUUAAUAAAAAGUUACUGCUGACGAAAAGAGAAAAAUAAAACCACAGAGUACUAAAUUGAUAUACUUAAACCACAAGGUACUAAAAUGAGAAAGUGCGAAACCACGGGAUGGUAUUUGAAGUUUAUCCUUUUAUUUAUAAACUAUCAUAAUAUCAUCUAUCAUUUUAUUUGUAUCAAAGGAGAUAAAAAAAUCUAAAGUGCUUUAAUUUUUUUUUAAAAAAAAUCUUCCUAUAUCUAGGGCAGCAGAUAAGCUUCUUUUUUCUUUUCUUUUUUUUUUUUUUUUGCCUCAUUCCAAGCUUCUGGAAUAGAGUAGAACUGUUCAAAGGAGCACCAACAUUCUAUCAUCACAAAUUCAAAUACUAAAAUUCAAAUAACUAUUUCAAAAUUAUAAGUGUAUAAUUAGGUUAGAAUACUUUUGGAAGCUCAAAGAGAGUUUACUUUUGCAUUGCUUCCCUUAUAGAACAUCUGAACCAAUGAUUGAUAUAAAUAUAUUCUAAACUAUUUGAAGUUUCUAGGAGUGUAAUUUUAUGAUGUCAUUUUUCUGUUAUUCAAGUGGUUCAAAAUUUAACAACUUCGACUUAUAUAAUGUGAAUUUGACAUAACUAGAUCACUACGUAAACGAUGUCAUAAAAUCAUGAAAUUUGAUUUCUAUUAAGUACAAAUAGCCUAAAUUAUAUUUAAUGAUACCGAUCAUCCAUUUGGAUAUCUCAUUGCUGAAAACGACACUAAAGUAAACUCUCUUAUUUACUUCUAUAAGUAUUCUAGCCUGGCUCCAAAAAUAUUAUCAGCAUAAUAAAUAAAAAUUUCAAAAUAAACUCUUCCAUUUACUUCCAACAGGAAUGAUCAAUAUAGACAUUUAAUCUUCACCACAUUAUGGGCUAGUUUGGUUCACUUAUUUUCGACUAUAAAAUCGUAAUGAGAUUCAUUAACUCUGAUAGUUGUUUGUUUUAAAGAAAUUGAAUUCCGAUUCCCAUCCAGAGUGGAAUGAGACUUGAACCAAUUUAUUUAUGUCCCAAUCCGAUUUUGAAUUAUGUACUGACCCAUUCCAAAAUAAACCACUCAAAACCCUUCUCUCUCUUAACGAAAAUCCUAUUUCAAAAUCCUAAAUAUCCAUUCCGAUUUUCAUUCCAAUAACAAAUUAAACAUUUCUAGGUGCUUCGUCAUUCUAUUUCCUAUUCCAAUGCAAUCCAAUUUCAUUUCUCAUUCAUACUCCAAUCAUAAACCAAACAUACCCUACAAGUAAAGAGUAACAAAGCCAAACAAUUUCAACCUUGUAUAGCACAACUUGGAUGUUUAAUCGCAUGAGAAGUUAACUGAGAAAAUAAGAUGCAUUUCACCAUCAAUUCACUAAUAAACAACUCAUUACCUGAAAAUCUUCGAGCUUAUUCGGUACUCCAGGAUAUCACUCGACCGAAAGCUGAACUCACCUUAUACCCUAUAACCUCUCUUAAUAACUCUACUCUACACUGUGAAUCACCGCUGUAAGACAAAACAGAAAAUGGUUAUAUAGAAGAUGGUCCAGCCAAUAAGAUGUCGCAGCUGAUCAGUUAUUGCGUGGCGAUUGUAAAAUUGUAUCUCAAAUUCAUAUUAACUACAUAUAAUUUCCGUGGCAUCCGCUGAAAGGCUUACCAACAAGAAAAAAUAAUAGAAAAUUCGCAAGGUUUAUUAAGUCUGUAACUUACGGGCUCCAAAAGGAUCAAAAAACCUUCUCGGUCAAGAUUUCUCCCGCACGAAUAAUAAGACAAUCGGGCUCUUUGCUGAAUAAUGAAACAAUAAGGAAAAAAAAAAAGAUUAUUUGAUUACUAUUAGGGGGUUAUGUACUAACUGUUCCUACCAUGUUGCAGCAAUCAAUCUGCAGUAUCCAUUGGCUUUUUCCGAAAGAAGGCCUGGACCAAUGAAACCACUGCUAUCAGCGCAAUCUGAACAUGUUCCGAUGUGUUGGUCCUCACAGAAACCUGACCUAAUCUUCUACUAUUGAGAUUACCACUAAUAGAAACUUUUGAACCACGGCCAACUCGGAAAUCCGACUGAAAACUGCCGCCCAAAACCAUCUCUUUCUCAAAGGAGAGGAUGGUGCCCGCCAAAAUUACCUUCUCAUCCCUUACAGGAUAAUCUUUCCCCUUUAUUGUUGCCUCCAAACUUCCCCCGUACGCCACUUGACCGCCGCCCCCCAUCCGACCAGUGUUCAUUGUCAGCUUAAAUCUCUUUCCUAACGAAAUCGAGUCCUCAACUUUUGCCCCGAAGAAAUACAUAUCACCAAAUUUAGUAACGGAAAGCCCAGCUCCCAUUGUGUUGAAGGAUAAAUUGCGGAAUCUAGCAUCGCUACGAAGAGUGGAAACCAAUUCUUUACCGGCGGUUUGAAUGUCCAGUCCGCUGUGUAAGGAGUGGCCACUUGGGUCCAUGUAAUUUGCCGCACAUUCCGAUUGGAUAGUAAAAUCUUCUUUAUCCUUUCUCAUUUGUCCUGCGAGAGAAAUAUAAGUCCUUCUCUUUACAUCUCGAGAAAACUCUAUAUUGAUCCCGUCGAACCCAACAUCAUGAUCCCAUCCUUGAGGAUCCAAAACAGGCCUCGAAAGCCACUGAUCAUUACCUACUAAGCAGCGAUAUCUAUAGGCUGGAUUCUCAGAGUCAAAACUUUGAGCAAUUGCUAUAUCCAAUACUUGCAUAGCCUCUUCGGAAGGAUUCUCGUAAUCCUCACUGUCAUUUGAAGUAUCAUUAUUAUCCUGAACCAUGGCCAUCUUUUGCUUUCUAACUUCUUCUUUCCAUUGUUUCUUUAGAAAAAGAGUCUCGCGAUAGUCCAACUCAUCAAGAUAAGACUUUUUCUGAUUCUCAGAUAAUUUCUGGAAUUGGGUUUUGGUUAGUAUUCGAAUUGGAGGUAGCUGAUCGUAUUCAUCCUCAUCAUUAUCUGAGAGAUCAUCCAUUUCACUCUCCAUGCCCCCGGAAUUAGCUAAAGAAUGGGGCCUAAGGAGUGAAGAGAGGAGAUGGGGCAUCGAGGGCACUCUGUUGCUUGCUGGUGUUAAUUGAAAGCUAUCCUGAAAUUUUAGAAGAGAGUUCGCUUCGCCCAAUACCUUUGUAGCUGUACACAACAGCAAGAAUCUGGAAAUCCAAGCUUGGCCACUUCGGAGAACUUUUUCGCCUUUGUUGUUUGUUUUACACAUUGGAUGAUUCUCAACUAAUAUUACAGGAUUAUCAAGCUGAGUGCUAGAAACAGCUUGGUGUAUAUAAUGUUGAAUCAUGUUUGUCCAAUAGUGAACCAACGCUUCAUAAUUCACAGGAUAGCCGUCGGCCCCUUCAGGAAGAGGAGAGGAAGCAUGUGUCAUAACAAGAACAGUACUGAACCAGAUCGAAGAACCAAAGACUUCAGUUAUAAGCUUGAAAAGCGGAUAUUCAUUGUAAUUCCUGCCAGUGAGAUCUAGCCGCUCAAAAUAUAAAACAACAUCAGGCGGAGACUUUCGAAUGAAACUUCUAAUUUCUUGCAUGAUCUUCCUGUUUCUUCUUUGAUUACCAUGGGGAGGUGAAAGACCGGGUGUAUCAAUAACUGUGACAUUAAUUCCUUUAAUGUUUCCAGAAACUUCUUGGAUUUUGUCAGUGGAAGGUUGGAAUGGAUCAGUAAUUACCUUUUCCUGAUCAAAGAUUGCGUUUAUGGUUGCGCUCUUGCCCACACCAGUUUUGCCCAAUAAAAGAAUCUUGAUCGAAAAGUCGAGGGGGGGUCGAUUAGUUGCCUCCUGCUCUGCUGCUAUAGCCCUAGCUUUGUUGAUCUUAAGACAAGUCCUCUUUAUUUCUGAAUCAGUUGCUCGAAUUAAGCUAGCGAGGUGCAAUCUGUAUAGAACCUGUGCAACCACAUUAUUUUCGGGUGACUCUCCUAUUCUACGAACAAGGCGCAAGAACUUGAUUUGGAGAGACUCGACUCUUUUUAAAGGAUCUGCAUCCUUAUCAUCGCAUUCGUAUUGAGCAGGAUCAGAAGUUGAAGUCGAAACCAGCUGAGAAGAGGCUGAUAAUUCUGUUACUUGGUCAUAAUCGGAAUUAGCACUACUGGCAUAUCCUGUUCCCACCAUGUUAGUUCUCUCUACUGUACCUACAAAAGUCAAAGGAUCAUAAUUACUCAAGUUGCUUCAAGCCUCUAAUCUGGAGAUGGAGUCAUUGAGCAGAUCCAGCUCAUUCUCUUAAUAGAUAGUGGAUUUAGAAAGCAGGAACAGUACAACAAUUUUAUCACAACGUGAUAAUUAUAAAUUACAGGAAAAACAGAUUAAGAAAGAGAUCUUUUGUUAAAAGUAAUCAAUCAAAUUUCAACAAAAGAUUAGAAAAUAGUGACAAAGAGCAUUAGGUUUUGCACCAGUCACAAGAAGAGACAUUAUUGUAUUUCCGUGCCAAAAAAGCACCUGUGUAAGGGAACUAGGAGAAAUGAAUGGGAGAAAACAUAACAGAGGGUCAAAAUAAAGAAGGUUGACGGCUAGGACUGUCAUAUCGGUCCACAGGACAACUGUGGUGGGCAUUUGCCGACUUUGGUGUGUCCACAAUGUUGCAAGCUCAUACAUGCCUACGCAUAACAGUGCCUUUGUACUCAAUGAGUGUCAGCAUGUGCCAUGUUGAUCUCCGACGAGCACAGAAACAUGCUAGGGAAAGUAAAUCCAUGAUGGACAUACUUUGAAAUAGGAAAGCUGAUUUUCAUGCCCUUGUGAAAAAUAGAGGGAAAAAAACAGUAGUUUUCAUGUCAACGGAUUUAUCAAGAAUGACAUCCCGAGCUACAUUGCUAGCUAAUGAAUGCUCACUGUUUCAACAUGUUCAAAGCACGCAAAUUUGUCUUAGUUAUCUUUUCUCAAAAAAAAAAAAAAAGUGUCUUAGUCAUCACAACAUCAUUCCUCGUUAUGGACUAUUAGUUCAAACCUCCUAUCUUUCCUCCUUUCCUUUAAGUUAAAACAAGUGUGUUGCAAGUAGAGACCAAAAAUAGCUUCCAAGUUCCAAUAGAAACCGAGUAUGAUAAAUCAACAAGGAAAGUUAGUCCUAGAGCUAAUAAAGGAAAAGGAUUUAUAAAAGGAGGCAAAACUAAUGAGCUUAAGUUUGAUAUUAGGUUGUAAUUAAUUUUUCAACAGCCAAAACUAGGGUCAAUUUCCAAUAACAUUGAGUUCUUCUAAAAAUGCACCAAAACUAGCAAUAAGAAAAGACGAUGCAAAAUAUCCACAGAACGUCACGAAUUUUUUUGUGUAAUGGGAAUGACGAGAGACAUCAUGAUUUACAGCAGAAAUAUACUAUACCUUGAACUCCAGGUUCUCCAUUCGGAGAAUCCUCAUCAAAGAAGCUGAAAGGCCUCGCUGACAACAAUUUCUUAGAUACCAACCGGCAGAAAAGCCACUUCUUGAAAUCCAUGGUCCUACAUAAAAGAGCAAGAAAAAAUCAAUACACAUCCAGCGCAGUUCGAUAGCAACCAUAUGUUAGCGAGUAUCAACUAAGUUGGCGUUCGAUGAUGUCGAGAGUAACUUCAAAACAUAGAUUACAAAGCUCGUGGCAUAACUACAAAGCUCGUGGCAUAACUAUAAGGCCAUGAUGAUGAUAAUAAUGAUAAUGAUAAUAAAUAAUGAUAACAAUACUUUAUCUUAGUGUUCCGUCAACUGCUAUCUAAUUUCUACAAAAUGCCAUAUUUUUCUAGCAUUUACAGGAUAAACUGAACCGGAAAAUCGUUCCAGGAUUCCUCAAAUUAUCCAAUUGACAAAAUUCCCAUUUUCUCUAAUUUCUUCUUUCUCUUUAAAUACUUACAUAUCACCAAAUUCACAAUUGAUUCCGUAAAUAGAAGCAUGCGAACUACAUCAAAUACAAAGAAGAGAACGGACUUAUCAACUCUUCUGAUUCAUGAUUAGCUCGCACAGUCAUCUUCUUUUAAAAAAUAAAAGCUAAAAACAAAAAAGAAAAAAAAAAAACAACGCGUAAUCACCAGGGCACUCUAGCACAUAGAAUUUGAUUUUUUUUAUAAAAAAAAUAUAAGAAAAAACAAAAAGAAGUAUCAUACGAAGCCUAAAAUUACAAUCCCUACAAUAACAUGCUACUAAAUCUCUUCGAAUCCUUUCAAACUACUCUUUUUUGCCUUGAUUUGGCUUUUGAAUAACCAAAUUAAUCAACAAAUAAGGAGCGAACGCAGGAGAGGUUUCGACCCCAAUACCUAAUUCAAGAACGCCGCGUCCGAUUCUUCGGAUUCGCCGUGGGAACGGGGAGAUUGAAGCAUAAUAUUACAAUCUAAUUGGAGCAAUUAUUGGGCAAAUUAUAGGGGGGAUUCGAAGAUGGUGUGUGUGAGAGCGAGGGAGAGAGAGAGAAGAGAUUAGGGUUUCGUCUCCGUCCAAAGAUUGGGGAUUUGGUUUUCGCCUUCUUUUUGGGGAAAACUUCAAAAACCACCCCUGUGGUUUCGUACUUUCUCACUUUAGUACCCUGUGGUUUAAAACGUAUCAAUUUGCCCCCCUGUGGUUUCGUUUUUCUCUUUUUGUUAUCAAUUUUAUUAUUAUUUUUUUCUUAAAUCAGUGACAAAGUUAAAAUUAAAGGAUACUAAAGUGAAUAUUCGAUAAAUAUAGAUGGUUAUCUGAAGUUUUUUGUAUAUAAUUUAACGAAAUAUUAACGAAAAAGCUUCCGAAAAGAUAAAAAUGAAACCACAGGGGGGCAAAUUGAUACAUUUUAAACCACAGGGUACUAAAGUGAGAAUGCACGAAACCACAGGGGGGUUUUUGAAGUUUUCCCUUCUUUUUGUCCCGUUAGUAUUUUUUUUCUUUUUUUUUUCUUUUUUUUUUUUUCUAAUUAACGUUCUUUACUUCUUUUUCGACUUUGGUCGGAUAAAAAUAAAAUAAAGGGUUAAUUUCACUUAGGCCCCUACUAAUACAGUAAAUUGCAAACAUAUCCCUAUAAAAUUUAAUUUUUAUAUAUUGUUUUUGUAAAAAUUCGGAUAUUUUCAAAUAUAUCCCUGCCGUUAGAAACUAUUAAAAAAAAUUAGUUAAUCAUAGAUAACAUAUUUAACCCUAGUUAGUUAAUGAGGUGAAUUAAUUUUUUACUCAUUUUUAAUUAACAGUUGAAAUUUUUGGAGGGACAUAUUUGUGAUGAUAAAAAGGUUAUUUCACUAAUAAAAUAAAUAGUAUUUUAACGGUAACAAAUCAGAGAGAUAUAUUAGAAAAUAUUAGAAUUUUUUAUCGUCAUAUAUCAAAGUUGAACGUUGUAGGGAUAUAUUUGUAAUUUACUAUGUUUGCAGGGACUUAUAUGAAAUUAACCCUAAAAUAAAAUGAGGCCCUGUCCUGCAAACGGGUCGGAUUUUUCUUUUUCUAACCCGACCCUUUUCCACCCUUUAGAUCCGAAUCCAUUAAACUUUACAAAAUCGUGAGCAUCUCUCUCUCUCUCUCUCUCUCUCGCUCUCUUCUCGUUUCCUCCCCCGAGAAAUGACGAUGAAGAGGAGAUCCAUGGCGACCAUGGCCUACUCCUCCUCCUCCUCCCCCUUCCCCGCCACAGCACCUUCGCUUCUUCUCCUCCUCCUCUCUCUCAUCGCCCUCUCCUCUCUCCUCCCUCCCACUCUCGCCGCGCCAACCGGGUAGGUUUUUUCCCCCCCCUCCUUUUUUCCCCUUCUUUUUGCAUCCUUUUAAGCCCUGAUUGAUCCAUCCCCUCUUCCUCUAAGAUCAUCCGAUCAUAGUUGUUUUCCAACAUUUUUUUCUGUAUUUUUUCAGCCCUGGAGAGGGGUUUUCCGUCGCGGGUCGCGUGAAGUUGGAAGGUAUGCUACUUUUAAGUCGAUUUUGUGAUCCAAUUAAUAUUGAGAUCUGUAUCAUUUGAUUGUGAAAUUUUUGGAUAAAAAUGUACUGAGAUCCUCAGGGCCCUCCUAAACUUUGAUUUUUUUUUUUUUUGGUUUGAGUUAUUUUAAUUAGAUAAAUUUAGGAUUUUGUUAUGUUUGAUAGCUCUGUUAGUGAUUAGUUGUUAGUUGUUGCACUUUUAUUUGCUAUAAAGUAUUAAUGUCAUUAAAAUUACAGACCAACUGUUGGAUUUAGUGAAAAUCUCAAUUUGUUUGAUUGAAGUAUAAUUUAAACAAAGAUAUCAGGCAUUUCCAAAUUGCCUAUAGUUGAAGGGGCGUUCGUACCUUUUAAUCAUAGUUUCAAUGAGUGUUGGGUUCUGAUUGAUGAGAUCUGAGUAAUUGAAGUAUAUGUAAAAUUAUGAAUGUAAUUAGACUCUGUUAAAUAAUGUAGAAGUGAUGAACAUGAUUGAUAGCUGUUUGAAUAAUCAGAAGUUGGAUUUGAUGGUAGGCAAUGGAUUCUUGCAUUUCAUUUGGAGUGCUACUGAUCUCUUGUUAUUGUUUGUUAUUUGCCUUUUAGUCUUCUAUCGUGUUUAUGCUUCAUUUGCGAGCCCAAAACAAAAAAAAAAGGGAAUAGUUACUUUGUAAAAAGUUGUUUGAUGUUAUCAAUUUUUGAUUUGAUGAUAGGCAUGGGAUCUAAAGGCUUCGGUCUUCCAGCAAAGACAGCUAACACGAAGGUCAUACUGAAUGGUGGUCAAAGGGUCACAUUUGUUAGGCCAGAUGGUUACUUUGCAUUGUAUCCUAUUCCCCUUUUAAAUGGUUGCAACUUGCAUUUACUUCUCAAUGCAUGAAGUUUAGUUUUUCAGGUUUGUUUUUUCACAUCUUACUACCAAUUUGUUGUUAUAAUAGUUCUUUUUAGCUUAAGUAACUAAUAAAAUGGCAUUUGCUGCCUAAGGGUUAAAAAAAAAACAUGGUGUCUUAUGUGACCAUUAAGAAAAUUUCAUUGUAUAGAUGCAAUACUUGUCAGUUGUCUUGUUAGAUGCAUCGGGGCUCUGACAGCUUGAGAAAGACUGGUGGGGAAGAUGGAAAAGAAAGAAAAUUUAACAUUGACUUCAUUGCAACUGUGUAGAUGGCCUCGACAGCUUGACCUCACUAUUCAAGCGAUGUGCUUCCUAAUAUUGAUCGGCCCGCUAUAUUGCUAAUUUAAGUUUUUUGUUUUGUGCUCACCUAUGUGAUGCCUGUUCUUAUGGUUAAAGUGGCAUUUGAAAAUCAACUUUUGUAAGAUAAGAUGGCAGGGGCAGGUCCCUCUAGACUUGGUUUAACAACUUGGCAAUACAACGCACGGUUGGUUUAAGAGGUAGGUGUGGCUUUUGUAGAUUAAGAGUAGAUUGGUGGUAGUCAAUCUCAAGAUAUAUAGAAGCCAUGGUGGCUUCACACACAUCAUCUAUAAGUACCCUACUGUAAACCUUCAGUCCAAGUAUAAACUGUCACAUAUGGUCUUGGUUCAUGCUGUCACUUUAAACCAUGAUUGUUGGCUGUGCCUUGUUGGUAAUGCCAAAAAUCAUGAAAUUUAUCUAAGCAUUAAUUGUUCUAUUGAGAUGCUGGUCCAACCAAAUUUUUUGCUGCUUUGGGAGUUUCAACAUGGCUCUGGCUAGAGAUGUCAAGCACAUUCGCAUUCUUGUGCAUUAGCUUUCCAGCAUUAAUGCACUUGCUCAUUUGUUAAGCACAUUCUCUGGUAAGUCAACUUGAUAUUGAAAUAGUAAGUUGCUCUGGAUUUUACAAAAAAAUGCCUCAUUUUUACAGAGAGAGAGAGGGGGAGAAUUAGAGAGAGAGGGAGAUGAAUGGCUAAAAUGUUUUGCUCUCAUUAUACCCGAAAACUACGUAGGAAUGGGAUUGUUAUGUUGUAUUUUGUAAUACUACAAAAGCCAUCUAAACUGCUUUUCCAUGAAAAUAAUAAUAAUAAUAAAAUACAGCACUAGUCAAUAUACCUUGGGUUUAACAAAUACCCUACUUAUACAAGGUAACCAAACUGGGCUGUACUUUGAGGUGCAUGUUAUUAAUGUUAAUUUUUUUCCUCUUAACCAAGCAUGGAUUACAUUUGGCAUUAUUGAAUCAAAUAUCAGUCAGCUUCAUUGGGUUCUCAGCUCAAUUUAUAGUAGAGGAGCUAAAGACAAAUCAGUAGAUCAAAAUUGUUUUAUCAUUUUAUUGUCAAGACUUUAGACUUUUUCCUUGUCUAAAGGAUUUUUGGUCGGCUUCUCCUUCGUUCCACAAUUCACAUGGGCCUGAACUACAACUAAAAAAAGCACAUUGGUUUACUUGCCAAAUGCCCUUGAUUUGUUUUUCUUUCAGUGGCAAGUCCGCUAUUGUUUGAUUCUGCUCUGAAUGGAAUUUUGGCAACAAUAUUUUCAAGGUAAUUCAGGUUGACCCCCCAUAUUAAUAUCUGUCUGUUCUUUUAGUGCCUUCUCAUUUUCAAGCUGGUUAUAGCCUACACAUUAAGGUAAAUAAGAUGCUUGCCUGAUUACAAGGUUUUCCUGGUUAUAUAUUAUAAUUAUUAAAUAGCAAAGAAAAGAGAAUGGAUACUUCAUUUAAACUGGAUGCUUGAUAUGUAAAUUAUAAAACUGUCGGGGAUGUUUGCUUCUCAUGGAAUGUGGUACAACAUCCUGAUUUCAUUUUAAUCUAAUAGCUAAUUGAAAUUUAUUAGAGCAACAUGUUGUAGGACUACGAUAAAAAUGCUAGCACAUAAAAAAGGAAGUCCGGUGAGCAUAGAUGUAGCUAUUAAGCUUUGGGUCUUGCCAAUGUUGUGUUUGUAUAGUUCUUUUUUACUUAUUAAAGCUUUUCAUGCAGUUGGUUAUGCUGAAACCUCAAAUGCAAAAAGUUUGUUGGUAAAUAUGCAGUAGAUUUCAUUUAUCCACUAAUCAACAUAUAGAAUAUUUGCUUCCUUGAAAGUUUUUUUUAGCUGUGAGUCUAUCAGUAAUCUUUUAUGGACAUAUUGAUAUCGCAAUAUUUAAAUCAUGUAUCAAUCGUGUAUCUGAAUGGUUAGUGUGAUCUUUUUCUUAGUUGGCGAGAAUAAUCUCAGCCAAUUCUUUUGGUUCCUUGACCUACAAUGCUGAAGCCACAACGUGCCAGCUGGUACUCACUUAAUUGAAGUAGUGUCAUUGGGUUAUUUCUUUUCCCCUGUAAGUGUCUGACCUUGUUUUAUUGCAUUAGUGAUUGGAAUGUCAUAAAAAAUUUGCAACAUAACUUUCUUCCCCAUAUACCAGGUUCGUGUUGAUAUCAGUGCCAGAAACCCUGGAAAGGUUCAGGCAGCGCUGACGGAGAAUAGAAGACAUCUGAAUGAGCUUGUUUUCGAGCCUUUAAAAGAAGAGCAGUAUUAUGAGGUUGCAGAGUGUUCACUUUCAAGUUCCAUGAUUUGCAUCUCUUAUGUAACUCAAUAUAGCUUAACUUUUUUCUAAUUAUUUUGCAGAUGAGGGAGCCUUUCUCCAUUAUGUCUCUUUUGAAAAGUCCAAUGGGUAUGAUGCUGGGUUUCAUGCUGGUUGUGGUGUUCCUAAUGCCGAAGUUGAUGGAGAACAUAGGUAAUGUUACUGAACCUUCUACAACCGACAACUUUUAGAUCAUAAAACAUUAUUCCCGAUUACUUAGCACAACACACAACAUGAUUGUGAGUAUUCUGAUGAUAUGAUUAUGAUAUUUCCCCUCUGAACAAAUAGUAAGUAUCAUGCUAAAGUAUCAUGUGAACUUUGGUACUUGACUACACACAAUUACUCACCCGUUUGCAUAUAUUAGCCUAACAAGAUAAACGAUAAACCAUAGACUAGAUGAGCUAGAACUGACUAAAGAAUAAAAAUGGCCAAAGAAGAGAACUGAUUAACUUACAAAAGGAUAAAAAAAUAAUGAACCACUGCAAUAUAAAUAUUCCACUUGAAUCAUGAAGUUAAUAUGGUCCGCAAAAUAGGUAUAAUAACUUGCCCUGUUGUAUUAUCACGGAAAAGCUAGUGGUAUGGAAAUCACUUAUUAACCCCGAACAUGGCAAACAUCCUAUAGUUUUCUUCUGCUAAUGAAUUUUCUGUUUACUUACAAUGUUUCGAUUAAACUCAUUAUCGCAUAAUCUUUGCGAUUCAUCUGACCUAGUUACUGCUAAAACUUCAGUUACUAAUUCCAUCAUUUCGUCUGUUUCCUUAUUCCACAUAUUGCAGAAAUAUUUGGUAUUUUUCCGAUGGAAAUUUUGUUUUUGUCAUAAUUUAAGUGCAUCAUUCUACGCUAAUUAAGAUUAUAAAAUAUAUAUGUUUGCUACCAUGGGUAGCUAAGCUUGAUAACCAAUAGUUGAUCGACUGUAUCUAGAAAUUUCGGUCUAGUUUCACAGCAGAACUUUGCAAAGUUUUUCAGUUUGAGACACGUGGUUGGAAAAUAAAUACCAUUUAAUCAUACAAUGGGUUGCUCAUUUAAACUUUGUCGUCAUGGUUUUACACAUCACAACCAUCUUCGCCAGGGAGGUUUUCUACGUUCAACUUUCUCACUUUCGUCAGUUGAUUAAAUGCAAUACGUAACUUCGCUUGGUUUGAUAUUCAGAUCCGGAGGAACUUCGGCGCACCCAAGAGGAGAUGAGGGCCCAAGGAGUACCUUCUCUUUCCAGCUUGGUUGCGAGGAACACCUAGAUAUUAGGAUUCUCUUCGAGCAAGCUCUUACGGUGUCGAUGAGCAAGAAGAUCUACUCCGGCCCGAGGUUUCCACUCUCGCUGAGCUCGAAGCUUGAAUCUUUUAAGACUGCAGUUAAUUGUACUUCAUUUGUAUUAAAGAUUACGUGGCUCUGUGGUCACAAUACAAGGAUACUUCACAUCGAUUUUUGACGGAGCUGAACUAAUUUUGAUUGUUAAAAACUACAGGAACUGAGGAUUUAGAACAACCACUUUCCCCCGGAAAGGUAAUCAAUCAAGUUGUUGCUUCUUUUCUAAUUUUUUUUAGCAUAUGGUAUUAUUAUUCAUUCUAUUUUUAAAUUGUGUACAAUGUACAAAUUUUCUGCGACACAGUUUCCCUGGCACGAGCAAUUUUUAUGUAGUUUGGCCUUUUUUUUUUUUUUUUCUUGUUUUCUUUUUUAUUUGGUUGUGGGUGUGGAGUGUCGGUUUAAUUGCAGUGCCAAAAAGAAAAUUCUAGCGUUUUAGAUUUUAAAAUUUUCUAUCUGAAAAAUUAAAAUUUUGAAAAAUGGUGUUUUUUUUUUGUGGAAAACUUAUAUUUUUCAAAGAAGAGGAAGAAGAUUUUCAUAGUUUUCUGAUGAACCAAACACCCUGUAAGGGAUUAUGUUGUCUUGAAUUGAUUGAUUGGUCCACUCGUAAUUGUUUCUAUUCUAUCACUUGUUAUUGUUUCUAUCCACUGUACUAGCAUGUUAUUAAGAUGCUGAAGUUUAUUAAUGUUAGGGAUUUGAUCAGCAGCUGGGAUAUUUUUCUUUUUUCAUUUUUAAUAGAGAGAGCCUAGAACACUAUUAAUAGCAUUUUUAAUAGAGAGAGCCUAGAACACUAAAAAUUGCUGUAUAAAAUAAUUUUUCAUAUUUAGGUGUUUGUUUCAGUGAUCACCGCAAUUAAACAUGAUCUAGAAUGAUUGAGCUUUUUAGAUAUUGAGCUUUGUGAGUUUUUGAUGUAAAAAAUGGCAAUUUAAUCGUCUAUGUUUGGGUGUAUUUUUUUUGUUUAAUGGUGCUAGAAUUAUUAUUAUUAUUUUUUGAGAGAUAGGUAGUACGCUACUCGCUUCGUUUAUUUUAUUUAGAAAUAAACUUAGCUGGAAAGUGAAUCAACUAGGAUUUGAACUUGGAUCUCGGAUACCAACCACUAAGUCCUUUGCCACUUACUCUGGAGACGGUCGGUUAACGGUGUUAGAAUGAUCCAAAUCUGUCAGAUAUUGGAUGGAAUUUAUUUUUAAAUAUUUAGAAUAAGACCUACAACUCUGUUCUUGGAUUUAAGUUUCAUAUUUUCCAUUCUUAAAAGGUUGUUUAACUUUGAUUGUUAAAUUUUUGAUAAGGGGGUGUUUGGUUGUAUGUAAAAUCAUGAAAAUUACUUUUUUAUAGAAAAAAAGUGUUUAGUGGAAAAUAAGUUUUACGUUUUAUAGUAUUUGGUUUGUUUGAAAAAAAAAAAUAAUUUUUCAUCAUCAAUAUUUAUUUGGUUGAAAAUAAUAAUAAAAAAAAAUCCUUAUUUGUUUGGUUCUGUGGAAAAAAAAAAAUGAAUGGAAAAAAUUUUACACAGUUUGAUUUUUCGUUUUCGGUCGAAAAUAGGCCGAAAACGAAAACACUUCAUUUUUCUCAAAUAUAUAAAAAUAGUUUUUUUUUUUUAAAAUCCUUUUACAGAUAAACAAACACGCAAAAAAUAAUUAUUCAAGUCGAAAAGUAAUUUUCGGUACAUUUAAUGGCAAACUAAACACACCUUAAGUCGAUAAUUUAAAACUAAUUUUCAAAAAAUAUAUAUAUAAUUUAAUUUCUAAAAGUUUUGGAUUAAUCUACUGUGGGGAUUGAUAAAUGGAUUGUCUCAUCACCUCGUGUCUACAACUAUGCUAAAUAUACACCAAAAGAGAGAGAGAGAGAGAGAGAGAGAGAGAGAGAGAGAAAGAGUGGGAUUUACUCCAGAAAAAUAUUAUUUGCAUAUCCAAAAGUCAACUGUAAACGAAACUUUCGGAGAGGAAGGAAGUGGGGUGGAAGUAAACGAAAAUUUCGGAGAGGAAGGAAGUGGGGUGGGAGUGGAGAGAAGUUAUUUUCGCCGUAAACGAUUACUUCUGUUGUUUGAUUUGUCGUAAAAAAAUUACAGUCGAAACUUGAGUUAACCUGAAACGGCGCUGAUUUCGACCCACCGUGGGCCGAAAUCAAUUACGGUAAAAAAAAUUAAAAUAAAAUAAUAUACUAGAUUAAAUAAUUAUAUUUAAUUUAGUUAUGGUAUUAAUUGCUCUUUUAUUCAGUUGGCAUAUUUAAAAUACGAUAAAAAUUGAUUAGUUAAGUUUUAAUAUUUUUUUAUUUAGUUUGUAUAAUUAAAAUAUGAUAAAAAACAAUUAAUUAAGUAUUAAUAUUUUUUUACUUUAUAAUUUUAUUGUUGUAUUGCUAUAAUUUACAUAUAAACAAAUAGUAUAGUUGUUUUAAAUUAAAUUUUAAUUAUAUAAAAAUAUAAUUAUAUUAUUUUUAUUUAUUAAAUUAUUUAUUAUUUAUAUAUAAAUUAUAAUUUUAUAUCAUACACUUUCUACCAGAUAAUAAACAGUAGAACUGAUGAAACUUUACUUCUAUAACAGCCAAAAAAAAUAGCGGGAAAGAAAUAAUUUUUACUGAACUCUAUUUCAACUCAAAAUCUAUUUCAAUUCAAAAUUCAAUUCCGAUGAAACAAACAUGUCUAUGUCUAUCCAUACUGUCCAUUGAACCCUCCAAGAUAAAGAGCUUUCUAUGGGAAGAUAUCUUUGGGGCCCAUCCAAAGGCAAGGAACAAAAACAUUAGAUGAGAGAGAGAGAGAGAGAGAGAGAGAGAGAGAGAGAUAGGAAGAGGCCCAUCUCAUUCUUUUGCAUUGGAAAAGAUGAACCACAAAAUAUUGAUAUGCUUCCAAUAAAACUUUAGUCGAGAGCUCCCCAACAAACGUCUCAUUAGAAAGUUCUCGAUCGACUAUUACAUAUUAAUUUUGCCUCCGUCUGAUAACUUAUUGUCUCAUUAGAAAGUUCUCGAUCCACUGUUAUGUAUUAAUUUUGCCUCCGUCUGAUAACUUAUUGGAUGUUUUUUAAUACUAAAACUCAACCCGAAAAAAAAAAUACGCUCCCCAGAAAAAAAGAUUAUAAUUUUUAGAGAAAGAUAGAAGUGGCACACGGCGAUGAAUUAUAGCUCCUUAACCAGGCGUCAGUGAAGAGCUCCCCACUAUUAUUAUUAUUAUUAUUAUUAUUAUUAUUAUUAUUUAUUUUUGUAUAUUCCCCACCUCCUCCCUAAUAUUAUCCUACUAUUUAAGAUUCCAAAAAAUGGUCCUCCUCUCAUAAUCCUAUGGCCCUUAGUUUUCUCUCCCAUUAUCCCUUUGCCCUAAAAAAGGAAAGGGAAUUUUGUUGUACAACAUCCAAAGUCCCUAACUACCCUGACAACUCUCUUAUCUUCUUUGAACCAGUUGGGACUUGGGACCAUUAAUUGUGAGCUCAUUUGUGGUUGGUCCUUGUACUAUUUCUCUAUGGCAAUAUGGUUUGUGUACUUUUUUUUUCUUUUAAGGCAUAAAUGUACUAAACUUAUCUGACCUAUUCAUCACUCAAAGUCGGUUACCUAAUUUUUCAAAAUUUUUUACUUUGCGGUUCAACCAUUUAAUUUGUUUGAUUUGAAUCAGUCAAUGAUAGUUUGAUUUUAAAGUUUAUAGGCUAAUUACUUAUUUUACUGAAUUUACAGUGGUGAGAAUUGUACGAAACAUAAUAACUUCAAAUUUGAAGUUACAGUGUCGUUGACCGACUCAAAUCAAACAAAUUAAAAAGUUGGAUAGUAAAAUCAAAAUUUUAAGAAAAAUGGAUAGCUAAAUCAGAAUGAUCUGUAGUUCAAAUAAAUUUUGUAUGUUCUUACCUUAGUUUUAAGCUCUUUGUUUUUUAAAAGCUUUCGCACAUUCCAAUUUAGUUUGUGAUUAUUAAAAAGUAUUAGACUUUUAUUAUAGAAGGGUUAAUUUCACCAUUGGUCCCAACUUUUCUUUCUUUUUUUUUUCAAUUAGGUUUCUAACUUUUACUUUUUGCUUUAGUUAACUUUCGCUGUUAAAAACGCUGUUGAUUUUAAUAGAAAUUACUACAUCGUUGCCGAAUGAGCACCAAACCGUGUCUCGUGACAGUUUUCAUUAGAAUUAACGACAUUUUUAACGACGGUCGCUUAAUUUGACCUAGUUUCGGGAAAAAAAGAUUGGGGACAAAAGUGAAAAGCUUGGAAAAGAAUAGGGACCAAUGGUACAAUUCACCCAUUAUAGAAUGAUACUUAUUCUUGUUUUAAGAAAGCUAAAAUAAAUGAAUUAUUUAUGAUAAAAAUAAAAUAAAAUGCCCAUUUUAUAUUAAAAAAAAAAAUAGGCCAUUUUUUGACGCCCAGAAAUGGCAGCGAAUAAGAAAAAAAAUCUAAAAUGCAACGGUCAUAUUGUUGAUGUAACGCUCCCUAACCAAUCAAAAAGCUUUCGAUUUACCGAUCUCUAUGGUUUUUAGAAAAAAAAAACUUUUAUUAUAUUUUUUUUCUCAAAAAGAAAUAUGUGAUUAGUUGGGAAUAGACGAUGUAGUGUAAGCGUUAUGUAAUGGACUUCCUCGCGGAUAAGGAUGUCAAUAAGUCGGAUUCGAAGUGGAUUUUCAAGAACCAGAACCCGAACCCAACUACCAAACCCGAAAUCCGAACCCUAAUCCAAAUCAAACGAAUUUUAAAAAAUCCAUACCCAAAAUCCGAACCCAACCAAAAAUUCAAAACCCGAACCCAAGUCCGAAUCUAAAAAUUCGAACCCCGAAACAAUUAUUUCUCUUUACAAUAUUUCAAAAUUUAUCAUAUUAAAUCUAAAUUUUUAAAAUAAAAAUUAAAAUAUAACAUCAAAUAUAUAUAUAUUUUGUAAUGUAAAAUAAUUUCGGAUUCGGAUUCGGGUUCGGGUGCUGGUUCGGGUCGAGUACAAUCAAAAUCCAUAUCCAAAUUUAAAUCCGCUGAGUUUUCAUUUUUGAUAUUCGUAUUUGAAGAUAUAUCUAUUUAGCGUGGAAUAAAUUCACCCUAUUUGGAUUCAAAUUGAAAUUUAAAUAAAGUUUUAGAUAUCUGUGUACAGUGACAUCUCUGCUCGCGGAUAAGAGACCGCAGUCUGCCACAAUUUUAAGAUAUGAUGAUUGUAAGAUUAGAACCUGCCACGAUGCAGCAGCCGGCCAAUCCUUUUAUUCGAAGCUUCAUGACCACAUUCUGCCAUGGAUUUAUUUCUUGCGCUAAAAUACAAAAAAAAAAAAAUCCUCUAUAGAUAUUUAUUUAUUUUUGCUAAUUUCUUUUUAUUUUUUCAAAAAUUAUAUUUGCGUUCUCAAAAAUUUUGAAAUAUUUUAAAAAAUCUACUAUAUUAAUAUAGAUAUGAAAUGACGAAAUUAUCUAUCAUUUUUAAUAAUCUUUUGGAUAUAAAAUUAUAAGAAAUUGAGGAAAUAGUUACGAAAUCCUGACGGACGGAGGAGGGCUAAAAAUCAGAGAAGAAAAAUAAAAUAACGAAUAUUUAUAAGGAAGAAAUUGGAAUUUAACCCAUUAUAUAAGACGGGAAUUUAACCCAGACAAAAAGGUUUACGAUUAGCUCUGAUACCAUAUUAUCCAAAAACUUAAGCUAUUAGAAAAUAAUAUUUUAAAUAUUUAUAUUCGGCAUUCUCUCUAACGUCUGGAACGAGGCGUUUUAGUAGGUUCAAGAAAUUGACUUAAAUUUCUUGGAAGGAAAUUAAAUAAAUAAACUCGAACUCAAGAGCUGCUGCUUUUAAUACCACGUUAAAUUAUAUGAAACCAUCGUCUAAACCCUAAAACUUAAGCUAUGGGAGAAUAAUAUAUAUCCCUUCUUUCUAAUUUGACCUUGAACUAAUAAGUUGGGAUAAUGGAUAAUAAAUAUUAUCAGUAAUGCAGAAACUUUAUUAUUCUUGAUAGGGAAAAAGUAAAAUUGAUUUUUUUUUAAAGAAAAAAUAAAAUAAAUAUUUGGAAAAUUCAAAAUAGUUUCAAUUGAUCAACACGCGCAAACUAUUACUAUUACAAAAUACAACAUCUUUGUGAUAUGAGUAAUUAGUUUUAUCAAAUGAAUUAAUUUUUUUGGCAUUGUGAAGGUCAAAGGGAGAGGGAUUAAUUUGAAUUUAAAUUCUCUUGUCAUAGCUGUAAAAAGACAACAAAAUAAAAUAUAUAUGUAUAUAUAAUUCCAAAUUGGCAAAAACUACUCUAAAAUAACAAAUUCCCAAAAUAAAUAAAUAAAUAAAUAAAUAAAUAACAGGUGCAUGUGUUUUACAACAGCAAACUUGUGCUACUGUAACCCCCCCAUGUGAUGCAAAUAUUUUAUUUUGAGUUGUAUAUUCACCUAUAUAAGUAAAUAAUUAUGUAUUUGAAAUUUAUUACUAAUAUCAAAAUGAGAAUUAUUAAAUGUUAGCAUAUUUUUUGGAAGUUUAGAUAUAUAAAUAACUUAUAUAUUUGUAUAAACUUUAAAACGGUAGAAGAAACGAAGAAAAAAUUUUACGCAGGGUCGAUGGAUAUUUAAAAACUAGCAGAGGAAUUUUUUUUUUUUCAAAAUAAAAAAGUAUUGAAGGUUUAAAGGAAUGUUCCAAUAGUUUUAAAGUUUCGAAAAAUAUAUGAAUUAUAUUUAAUUUUUUUAAAAAAAAAUACUAGUAUUUAGUUGCUAAAAUAACUACAUAGUCCUUCCUAAAACUUUGGUUGAUUAUAAUUAAUGAUUCAAAGUUUAAUCAUAAAAAAGUAAUCUCUAUAUAGCUAUUAAUUAUAUAUAUAAAAAAAAAGUAAUAAAAUGUAGGCCUGAUUGAAACAAAUCGAAUUAAAGUUCAUAUGGUUUUUUUUUCUUUCAUUAUUUUUUAAAUUUCAAAUGGUUGAGUAUAAUUGCAUAUUUGGUGUCUAAGCAUAUUAUUUUAACUUAUACUUUUAAAAUAAUAUUUGCAAAAUCAAAAAGUGCUAAUUUAUUUUAGAGUUUGUUGAGGGGAAUAUAAAAAUGUCAUCUUUGUAAAAGAUGUAUGAUAGAAAUAUUAUUUGGAGUUUUAAGGGUGUGGACAAAGCUCUACUUUCUUUUCUUUUUUUUUUGAGAAAAAUGUAGCAUGCUACCCGCUUCAUUCAAUGGAACGGUAAAUUAAGCUACAUGGGUGAGGCAGCAAGGCCUCAAUGGGGGCGAAAAAAAAAAAGAAGAAGAAAAAGAUUAACCAGGAGCUGAUUGCUCCCAUGAGUUUGUCAACAGCGAGAUCUUCUGCACCAUAAGGUUUCGGUUCGGGUGAGUCGACUGGAAGAUUACUCCGUUCCGUGCUUCCCAAAUGACCCAAAUGAUCCACCAGCACGCAACUAGUGCAAAUAACCGGGUACACAUCAAUGGUCCACCCGUGCUAGCCAUCAGUCUGUCCCAGAGAGAAUGGACAUCCUCCCCCCGGUCCGAAGGUUGGAGUAAUUCCGCGAACAUCACUCGGAGGAAUCUGAUAAUGACGCACUGUGUGAAUAAGUGGUCGACAGAGCUCUACUUUUUAGUGUGUUAAUUAGUGGUGCUCCCUAUUUGUGGUUUUUCUAUUUGAAAAAGAAACAUGAAAACCCCACAAUAAUAAAAUAAUUCUAUUAUAAGAUCUUUUUUUUUCUUUUUUCUUUUUUUGAAAACUCUUUUAGGAGUGUUUACAACAAGAUCUCCUUGGUCAUUUUCAUACUUAACAUGCACCCAUUAAUUCAUUUAUUUUGAUUGGUAACUUCUCAAGAUCUAGUUGUUUUGAUUUGGAUUGUUUUUUUUUUUUGAAUUAAAAGUAUUAUAUAUUCAUUAUAGUUAAAAUUCUACACAACAACUAAUAUAAUAGUUCUAAUCUAGUUAAUAGAAAUUAGUAUAAAUUACUAAUUUUAAAUUUUUAUCUCUAUAAUUACUAGUUUGAUUGAUUUUUGGAACAACUUAUUUACCAAAAAAGAAAAAGUAGUAUAUUUUAUAAAAAGAAUUUAAAAAAAUCUUUUUUUUCCCUAAUAAGUAGAAAUUUUAAUUCGAAUCUUAUGUGAAAACUAGUAAGAGAUUUUAAUAAAACAUCACUUGCAGUUCCUUAGAAUGUUGUUCCAUGCACCUCAUUUUGUCUCUUAUUUUACAUCAACUUGUUAUUUAUUAACAAAUAGACCCUUUUUUUUUUUCUUUUUUCAAGUAGAUGCACCAUCCAUUUUUCUAAUAUAAUAUUCCCUAGAAUAUCACCACCAAUUAAUUAAUUAGCUAGCACAUGCUUGACUUAAAUGGAGCAAUUAAUUUGUAAUAAAAUAAGGAUAAAUUACACUUUUGGUCCUCAAGCUACGAGGUGCAUGACACUUUAGUUCUCAAACUUUAAUUUUAAAUGUUGUAUAGCUUUUACAUUAGUAAUUCAUCAAUAUAUAGUCGAAAAAAUGGAUUGCGGGGCUUGCGUUCAAUACUUCCGAAAGUUUGAGCCAAAAAUGAUAAUAAAUUAAAGUUUGAGGACUAUAUUGACUAUUUAUUAUUGGUUAAAAAUAAGUCGAACUUUCUGCUUCGUGAUAAUAGGCUUAAGAGACUAAUAAGUUGGGUUAAGUAAGUUCAAUAAAUUUUGUGAGCCGACAGUUCACAAUAAAGCUAAUGGCAAGAUACUGAAUAAUAGACUUAAUUUUCAGAUAGGUUGAGCCGGUUCAAAAUCUGUGAGCAGUAUAGCUGAGCUUUUAAAUGCGACAAAUGUGCCCUUUCUAUCAGAACGUGUUAUUGAAACAGUUGGUUAGCGCGUACAAUUUAUAGACUAAAGUGUCACACGUCCCAUAGUUUGAGGACCAGAACUUAUUUUAGCCAUGCCAUAAAAUAAUAAAGCAACAUGGGUUGCUUGUGGGCAUUACUUAAACCAAUUUAAUUUGAUUUGUGGGGUGCCAAAUUGAAUUGGUAUGAGUCUAACCAACCUCAUUGAACUGAUGAGCCAACCACAGGAGGGAGAAAAAGGUAGGUUUUCUCAGCUAACUCUUAUUAUUAGUUAAGACAUGAACUUCCCAACUUCCAAUCAUAGAGUUGUUUUUUUUUUUUUUUUUAAAAAGAAAAAUAUAGCACGCUACCUAUUUCAUUCAUUAGACUGAUGAAUUAAGCUACAAGUGUGGGGCAACCCGGCCCCGAGAGAAAAGAAAACCGAAAAAAAAAAAAAGAGGAACUAUGCGAGAAGAAAGGAACUAUGUGAGAAGAAAAUCCCACUCCUUCACAAAAAGUUUGAGUCUGUGGAUCGCGAGUUCAGGGUUCGGAAGGAUAUUCCGAAAGAUUGUGUCAUUUCUGACCUUCCAAAUAAUCCACCAGCAGCCUACUAGAUCUGUAAGUCUGUUUCGCUUCUUUCGGUGGUCCUUCUUGCCCCCCAUCUAUCCCAAACGAGAUUCACGUCGUCCCGCAAAUUAUCAGCCUAAAUAUCGUCACCCCUGUCACUAUCCAAUCAUAGAGUUGUUGGUACUCUCAAUGGUGUGGAGUGGGAAAAAUUUUAGAAUCACUAAUUAUAUUAGUGACAUAGUGUCCCCAACCAAUUAAAUAAUUUUUUUAGUUUAUUUGUUCCAUCAUGAGUAUAAAAAAAUAUUUUUGUUAUACUUUUUUGUUAAAUGAAGAGAUUUAGUUGGCUUGUUAUUAAUGAUGUAGUGCAAGUGUGACACAUAAACUUUCUCGUGAAGUAGCUCCACCCUCACAUAUGGAUUUUUUUUUAUUUAUAUAACGAUCAAACCUGCUAGCGAUAAUAACUCGUUUGUUGGAUUCAAACUAUUAGCCCAAAAUACUUAAGUUCAAUUAUUACUAAUAGGGUGCGUGACGAUGUAAGAAUAUUAAGGUGUUGUUGUUUAUUUAGAUGGUGUUUGGUUCCUUAAAAAUCAUAAAAAUAUAUUUUUUAGAAAAAAAAAUUUGGAAAAGCAUCAUGAAUAGGACACUUUCAUGAAAUCUAGAAAAUAAUGGAAUAGUAGUCUAGUAGAUGAUCUAGGGGUUGAAAGGUUAUAACUAUGUGAAUAAUAAUACUUUUAGAAAUAUUCUAACUCAACUAGAAAUAUUUAUGAAAGUCUUAGAUAUGAAGGAAACAUCCCUCCACUCAAUGAUUGAGAUGAACUUUCUACUUGAUUAAUUGCACUUGAUUAAUUGUACUUGAUUUGAGAUGGAACUUCAUUAAUUGUGUGCUUGAUACAUUUUGUGUUGGUUGCAUGUUCUGAUUCAAUUGCAACAAAUAUUUUGUCCCUUUUGUUUACAACAGGUUUCAUGUUAGUGAGGGUAGUUUACUUCCAUGUGGUUUCUGGCCGUAGAAUAUCUGAAUCGACAAUCACCUCUGUUAAAUAUGAUCGAAGUUGUUUAAACAUUUUAGAAACCAAAUUUUCAUGAUUUUAUGAUAUCAUUUGCCUAUUAAUUAAGUGGCGUCAAAUUCAUUUUAUAUUAGCCAUUAAAAAUUAUCAAUUUUUUAAACUACUUAAAAAUUAGGCAAAUGAUAGAAAAAAAUAAUAAAAUUAUGAAAUUUAAAAGUUUAAAUAUUCUAGAGCAUAUUUAAUAGUGUUGAUUGCCGUCCAUGAAACUAAUGGCAAUUUUAGUGGUUAAGUUGCUGUCACAGCCGUGCAAAAAUUGUCAUUAACUCCUAUUGGUAAAUAACGCAGUUCGACAAAGAGAUUGGUGGUUGAGACCCGAUGUCUUAAAUUCGAUGAUUAAUUACAUCACAUUUCUAACUGAGCUCAUUUUUAAAAGGUGAACCAUACAGAUUUUUUUCUCUCUCUCUCUCUCAAAAAAGAAAAAGAAAAAAACCUCCUAUUUGUAAACACCUAAAUAGUAGUCAAAAGUGGGAAAUAAAAAAAAAAAAUCUAUUCCAAAUCUGUCCAGAUUCAUUAAUAAAUAGAGUGGAAGGCGGAGGACCAAUUUUUUCUCUUCAUUCGCCUCGAUCUGUCAAAAAAUUAUCAAAAAAUUCUCUUAUUCCGAAUGAAAUGAUAAGUUGGAGAAAACACUAAAAAGACACAAAUCAAUUCGCCUCAAAUAUGCCCGAUUGGUAAGAAAACAGGACGAAAAGCGCGGGACCCUCCCAUCCCCGGAUUGGCCCCCCAUUCGUAAAUUAUGAUUACGAGGAUCUUGAUUGUGUGGAUACAUAUUUCUAGCCCUAUUUUUUAUUAAAUUAAAUUUUUUAGAUAAUAUGGUAUCAGAGUCAAUUCUAAACUCUUUUAUUUUAUAAGAUUAUAAAUUCAACCGCCAUCUUCGAAAUUUAACAUGUUUCUUAUUAGAUUGAUCGUAGUUGAAGCUUUCACAUCAAAACAACCUAUAAUGGAAGGGGUCAUAUAAAGUACUUCUAAGCUCAAUUAAGAUGCUCACUAAAACUAGAUUUGACUAACAUUAAUCCCAUCUACCAUUUUAUCACACGCUUGACAUUAAAACUAGAUUUGACUAACAUUAACUAAAUAAUUAUAAUUAAUGAGAAUUGAUGAACCUUAUAAAUAGGGUUUCAAGCAAUGAUUGAAAAAUCAGGUCGGAUUAGUCGGUUCGACAUGUCCAAUCGUGACCCAGUCUAUAAAGUAGUUUGAUUCAAUCUUUUGAACUGAGUAAGUUAGUAGAACCACUUUGAACCAUUCGAAUCAGUAGGUUCAACUAUCAAACUAGUGAAUCAAUUUAGUUAUACUCAAACCGGCUGAAUUUUUUUUAUAAAGUCAUAUUAAAAUUCAACGGCUUAAAAUCAACUCAGCUGAUUUUAUUUUUUUAUUAGCACAAAUAAGCCUUAUUAAAAGUAAAAUUUAAAAAGCUUUAUAUAUAUACAUAUAUAUAUAUAGAGAGAGAGAGAGAGAGAGCUAGGCUGGAAUACUAUUGAUAGCAAAAGAACCUUUGUGCUAUCAAGUUUUUAAACCUUGGAUAAAAAAUUGUAGGGUUAGAAUGAUAUUAGUCCCUUAGAGUUGAGUGGUGGACUCCUAGGAUUGAGUGGUCCCCGCUGGGUUAUAAUAUUUAAUCUAGUGGUUAGAAAUGAUGAAAAUAAUUGAUCUAACGGCUAAAAACUUAAUAACAAAAAGGUUUUUUGUUAUCAAUAGUAUUCUAGCCCAACUCAUAUACUUAAUUUGGUCUAAAAAUUAAUAUUUUAAAAUUAAGUAUAAUACUAGAAUAAUAAUAUAUAUACAUGUGAUUCUAUAUAUAAAAUUAAAAGCAAUAAUUAAAUAGUUAUAAUGUCAUACUGACGUUACUGAUUUUAUAAGUGAUUGACUCACUAGUUGAGCAGGUAAUUUUUUAUCCAGUAAUAUUUUUAAAUUAUUAUUUGAUCCGAUUUUUAAAAUAUUGAUUACUCAUGGAAAAUAAAACUUCAUAAUUUUUUCGUCACCGUCGCAGUCGCGGUCGCAGUCGCUGUCGCCGCCAUCGCUAUUCGCUAGUCACCAUCACCAAUCUGCCAUCCAUUAGGAGGAAUUCUACACUGUCACACUUGCACCACGCUAUCAAUAACAAGCCAAUCUUUUCAAACAAAAGUACAAUAAAAAUAUUUUUUUUACAAUCAUGAUGGGACAUAUACCUUUAAAAGGAGACAUUUGAUUGAUUUGUUACGCCACGUCACCAAUAUACCUGUUGCAUUUUAGAAUUUUUUCAUCCAUUGGCCACAAUAAUCACAUUACAAUCAUCUUCAAUUAUCAAUACAUCACUCACCACCAGCUAGUGUUAGCCACCACCAUUACCAUCUUUAUCAGCCAUUAUUAGGGUAGCAAUCCAGCACGUUGUUCGUGAGCCAGCUCGUAUUCAGCUCGAAAUAAACUUAAGAUCAUAUCACUUAUUUAGUGAACGAGUCAAACACGAACUGAAUUUUUCAGCUUGUUUAAUAAACGAGCCGAACACGAAGUGGGGUCAGCUUGCUUGUGCUCGGCUCGAUAACAGCUCGAAUAUAUAUAUAUAUAUAUAUAUAUAUAUAUAUAUAUAUAUAUAUAUAUAUAUAG
rnacentral:lncRNA from 1 species